UUCAAUAAGUUGGUAGGUUCAUUCCCAGAUGAGCUUUGCCAUCUAGCAAGGCUGGAUCAAUUGGUCUUAUUUGGCAAUAAGCUUUCAGGAUCUAUACCUUCAUGCCUAAGUAAUCUCACUUCUCUAAGAUCUCUCUACUUAGGGUCCAAUAGGUUUACUUCUGUUAUUCCCUCAACUUUCUAGAGCCUAAAAUACAUCUUGUUCUUUGACUUUUCAUCAAAUUUCUUGGUUGGUACUCUUUCUUUCGACGUAGGUAAUUUGAAGGUGCUUCAAGGAAUAAAUUUAUCAGAAAAUAACUUAUCGGGUGAUAUGCCAGCCACAAUUGGAGGACUGAAAGAUCUUCAAUUUAUGGACCUAGCAUAUAAUAGAUUGGAAGGCCCAAUUCCUGAAUCAUUUGGUGACUUGACAAGUUUGGAGGUUUUGAAUUUAUCAAAAAAUAAAAUCUCUGGGUCUAUUCCAACAUCCAUGGAGAAACUCAUUUACCUUCUAGAGUUAAAUCUCUCUUUCAAUAAACUUGAAGGUGAGAUUCCUAGUGGAGGAAUUUUUACCAACUUCACAGCUGAGUCAUUUAUGGGAAAUGAGUUAUUGUGUGGUUUACCAAAUCUUCAAGUCCAACCAUGCAAACUUAGCAAGCCUAGGACAGAACAUAAAUCAAGGAAAAAGAUACUUCUCAUUGUGAUUGUUUUGCCAUUGAGUAUUGUUUAGGAGAAAUACGUCGACGAGACCAGGCAUGGUGAGCGGAUAUCUGAUGGCAGAGUUCUGCGAACCGGUAUGUCCCGUAAAAGCCUGGUGCGCGGGGGAACAGGAACAGAAAUAUCCUGCUCACCCACGAGCACGUCAUCCACGAGGCCAAUUUCCUGUAAGAGGCAUAAGGCCAUUCCGGCUAGAGGUCGAGAGGCGAGGAGACCCGGUCGACGGCAGUCGGCAAGACGGGCUCCCCAGCCCGAGAAUCUAGGUACGACAGCCACGCUUUUCCCAGAACCGUGGCGUAACACGCAAGAUCUCACAGAACCACGACAGCCACGCUUUCCCCAGAACCGUGGCGUAACACGCAAGAUUCCGCGUUUGCCCAUAACGCAGCAGUCAGAGUCCCAUACUGUCUGGGAAAAAGCAAAAGACUGGGAUUCAGGGGAAGCCUAUAAAAAGGUAGCCAACGAAGGUAAAAGAGUUAGCAUUUUUGAGAUUAAAAAAGAAAUUCAAAAGAAGAGAAAACCACGAAAAAGCCAUAAGAUCUGUGGCGAGCGUUCUCGGAACCUUCAUAUCUGACUUGAGCGUUGGAGGGUUUGCGCCGGGAAAACAACCGGCGUACUCUGACUUGUCUGUGUGCGCAGGAACCUCUGGAGAAGAAGCCUCACGAGAAGACCUUCUGGUCGUGAAGAAGUUGAUCGGGCAGAAAUCCUGGUCGUAGAACGAGGAGAACUGGAAUCCCGCAUCAACAAUUCCAACCCCAGUGGUUCGAGUGACAGUUGAUAACACAAACGUUGGUGACAGAAUCUGGUCGGUCCAAGGGCGAGCAGAUUUCCGCAUCAACAUUUUGGCGCCGUCUGUGGGAAACAGAACAAAAAGCUUCUGUUGAUAGCAAGGAGAGGGGUGAAGCAAGUGAAAAGCGAUGGAGACAGGAGGAAGUAGUGCACAAGGGGGUGAUAGGAGGCUUAACGAUUCCGUGACGCUGAGGGAGAUAGUCAGUGAGGCACGGGAAAAAGUCAUGUUCGACCGGAUGGAACGGAUGGAAAAGCAGAUGGAAACCUUGACAACCAUCCUGCAUGAGCUGCGGAGCGAGCGAGGGGUAACCCAAGAGGGAAGGGUGAGAGGCGGUGGAGUGGCACCAGGUCUUGAUAGUGCGGGGAGAAGUCAAACCACUGGGAGAUUCGGUGGUGAGAGGGGUAACGUACCUCUGCGGGGAGAAUUUCAUAGAGAACAAGAGCAGUCCCCGGCAAGACAGACUAGUGACGAGGACGACGGGGUGGUGAAUGCAGAGGAAACAGAGUUGAGGCAACACGUGCAUGAUGUAGAGCAAGAGCGGGAUCAAGUUGCAUCACGUGACCCUGGUCGUGCAGUGCAGCUGGAGGAGGAAGUGCGCAGACUAGCGCAGAUAAUUGACGACAUGCAAGGAAGGAACAGAGCCCUUGGUUGGAGGAUAAUGCUGGACGGAAAUCGCCGCUCGCAGCAGAGAUCAUGAGGGCAGUUAUUCCGAGAGAUUUCCGCCUCCCAGACCUCAGAUACUCGGGAAGAACUGAUCCGCUGGUGCACAUAGAGCGCUUCAACGACAUAACCGGGGUACAAGGAUUAUCUUGAUCCCAAAGGUGCAGGGUGUUCUCACUCUCCCUUGAGGGACGUGCACGAGAAUGGUACAGGAAACUUCCUCGGGGCAGUAUUAAAACCUUCGAGCAGAUGUGCCAGGAAUUCGCGGAGCAGUUUAGUGGGGCAAUGGCACCGGGGGAUGACAUGAUGGAGCUGAAAAGCAUGAAACAGGGGGAGCAAGAAACCCUUCGGGAAUUCAUCAAGAGGUUUCAUCGGGCUGUCCUCGACUUGGGGGCCUUCAACCACCCUCAGGCGUUAAGGGGAUUGAAGGAAGGGGUGAAGAUAGGAAGGCUGUGGUACAAUCUGAGAAGCCCAGCGAUUCAAACGUAUGCAGCCGCAUACGAACAGGCUAAGAGAGACAUCGAGAUUGAAGAGGAGAAGGCUGCACAGAUUAAGACAGACCAGUUAGAAGGGUUGGGGAGGAAAGAGAAGAAAGCCUUACCGGGGAAUGGGCCGAUCAGGAGGAGGGACCACCAGGCCUCCGGUGGUGGAGCAGGAGGUCGGGUGACUGCUUACCAGCCUCAUCAGAGGCCACCACAGUAUCAGCGCAGCAGGGCACAACCUCCUCGUUCCCCAGCUAGGGAGCCUUGGAAAAGGCAUGAGUCGGCAUCUGGUGGUCUUCCCCACGAUAGCAGAGCGAGUAGACCAGAAGUACUUCCACCGCCCCCAACUCAGAGCGGGGCAAACAAAGAAAGAGCAGUGCACCUGAUCGACCAGAACCCGGACUAUGGAUGGUACACUUCCUUGAAGAUGUCCCUGGAUGAGGUGUACAAGGCCAUAAAGGAUCGAGGGCUGCUGCACCCCCCUACACCAAUAACGAAGCUACCCAACAGGAGGGAUAGAGGACGUUAUUGUAAGUUCCAUGGCACUCAUGGCCACACCACAGCAGAGUGUAGAGAUCUCAAGACCCAGGUCGAAGAUUUGGUGAGAAAUCGGUACCUGGACGAGUUUAUAGAUGGGACCUUCCCGAUGGAGGCCACAACAGGUGAAGGGGAGCAGAGUGGUAGAAACUUGAGGCGCGAGCAGCCCGCAGUAAGGAUGAUAGCUGGGGGCCCAACAUUGGCCGGAGAUUCCAACAGAUCGAGAAAAAAUUAUGCUAGGUACGCCAUGACCAGUAAAGAGGUACUCUUCAGCACCCCAGCAGCCAAACGAGCAAGAGUCAGGCAAGUGCCGAUCAUGUGGACGGAUGAGGAUGAGGAAGGGAUUCUAUACCCCCACGAGGAUGCUUUAGUCAUCAAGGCUACUGUCGCUAGCAAGAAGUUUGAUCGGAUACUGAUUGAUACGGGGAGCUCAGUUGAUGUGUUAUUUAGGUCAACCCUGGAAGAGAUGGGAAUAGCCGACCGGAAGUUGGAAUACACCAAUACCUCCUUGAAGGGAUUCGGAGGAGGGAAGCUGGUCCCUCUGGGCGUGGUCGAGCUGCCUAUCACAAUUGGGAGCUCCCCGACCGAAAGAACAAUGAUACUGGACUUUGUCGUAGUGGAUGAAGAAAGUCCUUACCAGAUGAUUCUAGGUCGGCCGUUUUUAAGGAUGAGCAAAGCGGUGUUGUCCAACCAUUAUCUGGCUCUGAAGUACCGGGUGAACGGGGUAGUAGGAGUGGUACGAAGAGACCAGAGGAUCGCAAGAAGCUGCUACUCCUCGGCAGUAAGGGAAGCACUGCAGAUAACAUCCCUCGAUACCCGAGUGGAAAACAAGAAGGGCAGACAAGAACCUGUAGAGGAUCUGGAAACAGUAAGCCUGGGACCAGAGAACCCGGGAAAGACGAUCAGAAUCGGGUCGAGACUUAAGGGAGAGCAAAAGCAGGAGUUGGUGAAAUGCUUACAGGCUCAUGCUGACGUAUUUGCUUGGACACAUGAAGACAUGCCCGGGAUUGACCCUGAGGUAGCAUGUCAUAAGCUGGCAAUAAAGAAAGGUGCCCGGGCAGUAAGGCAGAAGAGGAGGUGCUUCAACCAGGAGAGGUAUGAGGCUAUAAAUGGCGAGGUGGAGAAGCUCUUGAGAGCAGGGUUCAUUCGGGAAGUCAGUUAUCCUGAGUGGAUAUCAAAUGUGGUGUUGGUAAAGAAGGCAAACGGCAAGUGGAGGAUGUGUGUGGAUUUCACAGACCUCAAUAAGGCGUGCCCAAAAGACAGCUUCCCUUUACCAAAGAUCGAUCAGCUAGUAGAUUCAACGACUGGACAUGGUCUGCUUAGCUUCAUGGACGCGUUCUCGGGAUACAACCAGAUCCCCAUGUACGAGCAGGAUGAGGAGAGCACGGCCUUCAUCACUAACCAAGGUUUGUUCUGUUACAGGGUAAUGCCAUUCGGUCUCAAAAAUGCUGGGGCCACCUAUCAAAGGCUGGUGAACAAAGUCUUUAAGCCGUUGAUUGGGAAAACCAUGGAGGUGUACGUGGAUGACAUGAUCACCAAAUCCAAAAUCCCGAAGGAACAUGUCAGACACCUCGAGGAGACAUUCGAGCUUUUGAGGAAGUAUAAGAUGAAGCUCAACUCGGAGAAGUGUGCUUUUGGGGUCGAGUCAGGGAAAUUCCUUGGAUUCAUGGUGAGCCAUAGGGGGAUUGAAGCAAAUCCCGAGAAAAUCCAGGCGAUUGUGCAAAUGACGUCUCUUUGUAACCUGAAGGAGAUGCAGAGCCUCACGGGGAGGUUGGCGGCGUUGAGCAGAUUCAUCUCCAGGGCUACAGAUAAGUGUCAGCCAUUCUUUCAAGUGAUAAUGAGGGGAAAGAAAACAGAAUGGACCCCAGAAUGCGAGGAAGCCUUCCGGAACUUGAAGCAAUACUUGCAGCAAGCUCCGCUGCUGUCCACACCAAGGGAUGGGGACAAGUUAUAUCUGUAUUUGGCGAUAUCGGAUCGGGCCGCCAGUUCUGUUCUGGUGAGAGAGGAAGAAGGAGUUCAGUAUCCGAUAUACUACACCAGCAAGGCCCUGCUCGACGCUGAAACCAGAUACCCGCCGUUGGAGAAAUGGGCACUUGCCCUUGUGGUUGCUGCUUGGAAGUUGAGGCCAUAUUUUCAAGCAUUCUCGGUCUCGGUAAUAACAAACCAGCUAUUGCGUCAAACUCUGCACAAGCCAGAUGCCUCUGGUCGGCUCGUCAAGUGGGCUGUAGAGCUGAGCGAGUUCGACAUAGAAUAUAAACCCCGCGCUGCGAUAAAAGCCCAGGCAAUGGCCGAUUUCAUAGCUGAAUUCACAGAGCCCGAAGUAUGCUUAGAUCAACAAGAUGCGGUUAUAGGCAAUGAUGAAACUCAAGUAUGGCAGGUGUCUGUGGAUGGGUCAUCAGGGGAGCGGGGUUCAGGAGCAGGGAUUGUCUUGGAAGGCCCAGAGGGGGAGGAGAUUUCUUAUGCUGUAAAGUUGGAAUUUGCAGCCACGAAUAACCAGGCAGAGUAUGAAGCCUUGAUAGCAGGUUUGGAAUUGGCUAAGGCCGUGAAAGCAGACAGAGUUAAGAUCAGAACUGAUUCCCAGCUGGUUGCGAAUCAUGUCAGUGAAAGAUUCCAACCAAGAGAGGAGAAGAUGGAGCAGUACCUGAAGAUAGUCAGGCAGAUGAUGGGGAAGUUCGAAGCAGUGGAGGUGAUACAAAUCCCCAGGGAGCAGAAUAGUCGAGCAGACAUUUUGGCUAGGAUGGCAGCAGAAGCCGACCCAAAAAUGCCAAAGUCGGUCCCUCUGGAGGUGAAGUCCAGCCCAAGUAUCGAUCAGAAUGUGGGGGUGUUGCGGAUAGAACAAAAAUGCUCUUGGAGGGACCCGAUAGUCUCAUACCUUAGAGACGGGGUAUUACCACCAGAUAAGCUGCGAGCUCGCAAGAUUAGAGCCCAGGCUUCGAGAUACGCGAUGAUUGAUGGGGUACUGUAUCGGCGAGGAUAUACACUACCGUUCCUUCGGUGUUUGGAUGAGGACGACGCGGAUUACGUACUGAGAGAAGUACAUGAAGGAAUUUGCGGGAAUCAUUCUGGCGGGAGGUCCCUGGCCCACAAGGUUCUAAGGCAGGGAUAUUUCUGGCCGACAUUGCACCAGGAUGCGCAAGAGAAGACCAGGAGUUGUGUAAGCUGCCAGAGUUUUGCAAAUUUCUCUAACCAGCCACCAGAGAAGCUCACCUCCAUGACCUCCCCCUGACCAUUUGCUCAAUGGGGAAUUGAUCUGAUCGGCCCAUUGCCAAAGGCACGAGGAGCAGCAACACAUGCAAUAGUUGCUAUAGAUUACUUCACGAAGUGGAUAGAGGUAGAAGCCCUUAGCAGUAUCACAGAGAAGAAAACAACAGACUUUGUGUGGAGAAACCUGGUCUGUCGAUACGGGAUCCCUUAUGCCUUGGUAAUAGAUAAUGGCAGGCAGUUCGAUAAUCACAGCUUCAGGGAGUUCUGCCAGAACCUCGGGAUAGAGCUGAAGUAUUGCUCGCCUGCUCACCCUCAAUCGAAUGGACAAGUAGAAGCAGCCAACAAGACCAUCAAGAGACUUUUGAAAACCAGGCUUGGAGCAAAAAAGGGUGCGUGGGUUGACGAGCUGUCAGGUGUGCUAUGGGCAUACAGAACAACCCACAAAACCGCAACUGGGGAGACACCAUUCGCUUUGGCUUUCGGGCAUGAAGCGGUCGUGCCGGCUGAGAUAGGGACGACCACACACCGGACAGGUCAUUUCAAUGAGCAGGAGAACGACGAGCAGAUGUGUUUGAAUCUUGAUCUGCUAACGGAAAGGAGAGAGCAAGCAGCCGAGCGAUCAGCCAUUUACCAACAGAGGGUUGCUCGAUAUUAUAACUAGAAGGUGAACAUACGGCAAUUCAGGGUCGGAGACUGGGUACUGAGAAGAGUGAAUCAGAGCACCAAAGAUUCGACUCAAGGAGUGCUGGGACCGAAUUGAGAAGGGCCAUAUAGAGUCAAGCAGAUAGCGGGACCCGGAGCUUACAAGCUGGUUCGCACGGACGGCCACGAGGUGAAACGCCCAUGGAACGCAGCACACCUCCGAAAAUACUUCCAGUGAGACUUGUUGGCAUUUGAAAGCUAUUUUUGCUCAUGCUCAUUGUGGUUUAUCUUUCACGCUUUAUGUCCAAACAAUUUCAUGUAAGCCGAAUCCGGCCAUUAAUAGAACGUCGAGGAAUUUCUUUUGCUUGAAACCGAGGAAAUUAUCCAAGGCAUGCAAAGGCUCACCAAGUCUCAAAGCCUGUCUUAUGGCGAGACAGAAGCCAAGCAUGCCAGGAUCUGCUCGGCCACGAGAAGGCUAGCAGAAUCCCAAGCUUUGAAGAAAUUAUCCAAGGCAUGCAAAGGCUCACCAAGUCUCAAAGCCUGUCUUAUGGCGAGACAGAAGCCAAGCAUGCCAGGAUCUGCUCGGCCACGAGAAGGCUAGCAGAAUCCCAAGCUUUGAAGAAAUUAUCCAAGGCAUGCAAAGGCUCACCAAGUCUCAAAGCCUGUCUUAUGGCGAGACAGAAGCCGAGCAUGCCAGGAUCUGCUCGGCCACGAGAAGGCUAGCAGAAUCCCAAGCUUUGAAGAAAUUAUCCAAGGCAUGCAAAGGCUCACCAAGUCUCAAAGCCUGUUUUAUGGCGAGACAGAAGCCAAGCAUGCCAGGAUCUGCUCGGCCACGAGAAGGCUAGCAGAAUCCCAAGCUUUGAAGAAAUUAUCCAAGGCAUGCAAAGGCUCACCAAGUCUCAAAGCCUGUCUUAUGGCGAGACAGAAGCCAAGCAUGCCAGGAUCUGCUCGGCCACGAGAAGGCUAGCAGAAUCCCAAGCUUUGAAGAAAUUAUCCAAGGCAUGCAAAGGCUCACCAAGUCUCAAAGCCUGUCUUAUGGCGAGACAGAAGCCAAGCAUGCCAGGAUCUGCUCGGCCACGAGAAGGCUAGCAGAAUCCCAAGCUUUGAAGAAAUUAUCCAAGGCAUGCAAAGGCUCACCAAGUCUCAAAGCCUGUCUUAUGGCGAGACAGAAGCCAAGCAUGCCAGGAUCUGCUCGGCCACGAGAGGGCGAGCAGAAUCCCAAUCCUCGAAGAAUCCAAGGCAUGCAAAGGCUCGACAAAGUCUCAAAGCCUGUUUUAGGGCGAGGCAGAAGCCAAGCGUGCCAGGAUCUGCUCGACCGCGCGAAGGCGAGCCGAAUCCCAGGCAUUGAAGAAUCCCCUAAGGCAUGUGGCAAAACCAUGAGCCAAGCCAGAACCUGCUCGUCCAGACAAAGAUAAGUAGAUUCUCAACCGAAAAUUAAUUCGCACUUACAACACAAGAAAGUAAUCAAAAACCAUUUUUAUUAAUUUGUUAAUAACUAACAUAGGGGAUAAUCUUCAUGAACAUUGUUCGUUACAAUACAAGAGACACAUCAGGAAGAUGGUGGAUCAGUAAGCCCGGCAGCAUCGGUCGGCUGAACCUCCACAGGUGCAGGAGGGGUAUCACCCGUUGCGUCCGGGGGGGUGCUCGCCUCGCCAACAUCAGCAGGGAUUGCACGAGGAGGAGAGUCUUCCUCCUCGACCACGAUCGGCUCUACCCCACCGGCAUCUUCCUUGGCCGCCUCCUCGUCCAUGUGUUGAGCAACACCAGCUGCAAGGUCGUCCAUCUUCAGAUCAGGGUGUUGCUUCCUAAGGACGGCCAUGAUGCAACGAUAGGAAUGCCGAAGUCCCUAGUCGUACUGGUGGUCAGCCUCCCUCUCCAAGUUCUCGACCUGAGCUCGGUGGGAGUCGCGGAGAGAUUCGAGCUGAGCCUCAUACAUAGCCUUCUGCCUUUGCAGAUCCCCCUUGACCUUGGUGAGCUCCUCCUCGAGGGAAAUAGCUUUUGCUUGAGCAAGUGAUUCUUGCUCUAUCAGCUUCAGAUUCUUGAGAUUCAGCUCCCCUGCUUUCUUCUCGGCAACGUCAGCUCUGGUCGUCGCCGAUUGAAUAUCCUCCUUCAUCUUCCGGUCGUAGCGGCCAACCUUAGCCUUGUAAUAGGUGGUCAUGCAGCUGAGGUGGAAAGCGCUAUGCUGCAUGGCCCCCACCAGCUCACUCAAGGUGUGGCCAUCAAAGUCCUCCAGGUCCUUCUUGCUCACGAGUUUAGUUAACUCAUUGAGGUAAGGGACCAGGUGUUCUGCUCGGCUGUCAGGUAAGCGAGAUCGAGGCCCGACAGGAGGAGAAGAGGGAGCAGGAUCUGUGGCUGCUCCACUAGCUUCCCCGACUUUCACAGGAGCAGAAGGUAAAAUCUUCAAGGGUGGGACCUGCUGCACGAUGUUGGCCCGCUUUGCAGUAGGGGCGUCCUUACUCUGGUCCCUCUUCGUGGUUGGAGGUCGGGAACGUUUUCGGGUCAGAGCCCCAAUCACAGCGUCCUCCAUCCUAUGGCCAGGAAGUAUCAAGCGAGACUCGAGCAAGUUGUAUGUAGUUAACAGUUCUCGACUCGAGCAGGAAUUGGCUAGUACAGCCUCGACCCGUUUGAGCUGGUCAGGUCCAAGCGGGAAGUGGACACCCCAAGAAACUACAACACAAACAGACACUCGGUUAGAGACAAAAAAAAAAGGAAGAAAAGAGAGCAAGAACAAUUAUGGAUGCAAGACAUCUAGAGCGAGCAGGCAACCUGGGACCGUGAAACGGGGUGGGACGCGACAAUCCUUCCCGUCUAUUUGUGCAACUUGACCCCAAGGACCCCCAGCAAAAAAGAAUUUUCUCUUCCAAGUCCCACCACCACCGGUCGGAAGAUCGGUUAUGGGUUUCCGGCUCUUGGUGCUAGAUUGGAAGUAGUACCAGCCGGCAUCUUUGGGGCUGCUCUUUAGCUGGUACAGGUGCUUUACCUCAUCAACCGUGGGCUCGCUUUGGCAACAUCUGUCCCACAAGAUGAACAGACCAGAGAGCACUCUCCACCCAUUGGGAUUCAGCUGACCAGGAGCUAGAUUUAGCCCGUUAAGUAUCCGGGCAAAGUAGGGUUGCAAGGGACACCUCAGCCCGUACUUAAAGCUCUCUAGAAACAGGGUAACGUAUCCCCUGGGAGGCCGGCUGGGAGCAUUCUUCUUUCCUAGGACCUUGAGAGGUAUCUCACCAGGAAUGCUAUACCUAAGCCGGAGGUCAUUGAGCUCAUCAAACGAGGUCGUGCACGUCAUGUAAUCAAUGGCAUAAUCGCGCGACAAGGCUCUGCCUCCUACUGUACCCCGUUCUUCUGGUCGUGAUGUUCCAGAUGGAGACACCUCACCAGAGUCACCUUCCCCAUUCUCACUUAAGGUGUCCUCGGAGCCAGAAGAUCCCUCCUCGCCAUUGCUUCCGCUCGUGGAGGUUGUUUGGGGGGACAUCCUCCUAGCACUAGUCCCGACACUAAACCUGAUGGGUUCUAAGGGGAUCCCGGGGUCAAAAGCAGGAUCAGUGAGCAGACCGGGCAGGAAACUUAGUUCGUCGUCAUCAAUCUCAACGACUUUCUCCUUACCCUUCGACAUUCCCUAAGCUCUAACCACAACACCACCAACUACUACCCAAACAGAAGAGAAGAGAAAUUAUCUACAACUAUCCGAGACCAAGGAGAUAGAAGAAAUACCUGAAGUAAUGGUUCAGUCGGUGAAAGUCAGAGAUGGAGGCCUUUUAUGCCGGAACUUCUUUGCCGGAGAGACAGAGACGGAGACGGAGUGAAUGAUGAAUAUGGCGUUUGAGAGGAUUUGGUUUUCCUAAUGAGGACGGACUCUUGGGUUGCCAGCAUUUAACGGUGCCGAAUCCCGAGGGUCUCGUAACCGUCGGUUCGAAAUUCAAAUGGAGGGGGGGAUUUCUGCCACGUCACCUCGUCCGCAAUUAAAUGCGACAUGACUCUUGGCAGCCUUUUCCGAUCCCACGCGAGCGAGUACUAACGAGUUUCUACUGCUGGUCCACUACAUUACCCAACACCAGAAACUGGGGGACCGGUGUUUAGGAGAAAUACGUCGACGAGACCAGGCAUGGUGAGCGGAUAUCUGAUGGCAGAGUUCUGCGAACCGGUAUGUCCCGUAAAAGCCUGGUGCGCGGGGGAACAGGAACAGAAAUAUCCUGCUCACCCACGAGCACGUCAUCCACGAGGCCAAUUUCCUGUAAGAGGCAUAAGGCCAUUCCGGCUAGAGGUCGAGAGGCGAGGAGACCCGGUCGACGGCAGUCGGCAAGACGGGCUCCCCAGCCCGAGAAUCUAGGUACGACAGCCACGCUUUUCCCAGAACCGUGGCGUAACACGCAAGAUCUCACAGAACCACGACAGCCACGCUUUCCCCAGAACCGUGGCGUAACACGCAAGAUCUCACAGAACCACGACAGCCACGCUUUCCCCAGAACCGUGGCGUAACAGGCAAGAUUCCGCGUUUGCCCAUAACGCAGCAGUCAGAGUCCCAUACUGUCUGGGAAAAAGCGGAAGACUGGGAUUCAGGGGAAGCCUAUAAAACGGUAGCCAACGAAGGUAAAAGGGUUAGCAUUUUUGAGAUUAAAAAAGAAAUUCAAAAGAAGAGAAAACCACGAAAAAGCCAUAAGAUCUGUGGCGAGCGUUCCCGGAACCUUCAUAUCUGACUUGAGCGUCGGAGGGUUUGCGCCGGGAAAACAACCGGCGUACUCUGACUUGUCUGUGUGCGUAGGAACCUCUGGAGAAGAAGCCUCACGAGAAGACCUUCUGGUCGUGAAGAAGUUGAUCGGGCAGAAAUCCUGGUCAUAGAACGAGGAGAACUGGAAUCCUGCAUCAACAAUUCCAACCCCAGUGGUUCGAGUGACAGUUGAUAACACAAACGUUGGUGACAGAAUCUGGUCGGUCCAAGGGCGAGCAGAUUUCCGCAUCAACAAGUAUUGUUCUAGCAAUAGCAAUCACUCUAGCUCUCAAAUCUAAGCUUAUUGAAUGUAGAAAGGGAAGCACAGUGUUGUCAAAUGAUAGUAUCUUGUCAUCACAAGCAACGCUAAGAAGAUUUUCAUACUUAGAACUUUUACGAGCAACAAAUAAUUUUUCUGAAAACAACAUAAUUGGCAUAGGAGGUUUUGGUUCUGUUUACGGUGGAAGACUUGAAGAUGGGAUGAAGAUUGCAAUAAAAGUGUUUCACCAGCAAUGUGCAAGCGCAUUGAAGAGUUUUGAGGCUGAAUGUGAAGUGUUAAAAAAUAUUCGCCAUCGAAACCUUAUCAAAGUUAUCAGCAGUUGCUCGAACGAUGACUUCAAAGCAUUAGUCCUAGAAUACAUGUCCAAUGGGAGCUUGGGGGAUUGGCUGCAUUCUAGCAAUUAUGUGUUUAAUAUAUUUCAGAGGUUGAACAUAAUGAUUGACGUUGCAUCAUCUUUAGAAUAUCUCCACUUCGAUCAUUCAACUGCUAUUAUUCAUUGUGACUUAAAGCCUAGUAAUGUAUUGUUGGACGAAAAUAUGGUUGCUCAUUUGAGUGAUUUUGGCAUAGCAAAGCUUUUAAGAGGAGAGGAUGAGUCUAUGAUGCGAACAAAAACCCUUGCCACUAUAGGUUAUAUGGCACCAGGUUUGCUUCAAACAACUUUUUUUUAGUUCAUUUUAAAUUUUCUAAAUCAUUGAUUUUUACGAUCCUCAUAUCAAAUUGUUACUGAUUAUUUAUCUAAUUGUGAAAUUAAUUUGAUUCAUAGAGUACGGCAUUGAAGGAGAAGUAUCUACAAAAAGUGAUGUUUACAGCUAUGGGAUUAUGUUGAUGGAAACUUUUACCAAGAAAAAACCCACAGAUGAAAUUUUUGUUGGAGAAUUGAGCUUAAAGCGUUAGGUUAAUGACUUGCUUCCUAAUUCAUUAGUGGAAGUUGUGGACAAAACUCUGCUAAGUGGAGAGGAAAAACUUUCUACAGCAAAGGAUCAAUGUCUGUUGUCUAUCUUUAUUUUAGCUCUGGAGUGUACAAUGGAAUCACCGGAAAAGAGGAUUAAUGCAAAAGAUAUUGUUACAGGAUUACUCAAGAUAAGAGACAUUGAGUAAAAGGAUUGGAAAUUUAAGUUAAUUUCGUUUGCUUUCAUUGAUAGUUAAAUAGAAUUCAUGUAAUAAGUGUAAGAACCUUAUAUCUUUUCCUUUGAUUUUUUUUCUUGAGAAAACUGUUGCAGUCAUCUUGUUUGCAUGGACAGAGUUGAUUUAGUUCUUCCAAGAAAUGCUACUGAUGAUCUUUGUUUUAUACUUUCUCUUUUUCUUUUUUUUGCAUGUGUUUAGGUAGAAUAGUGAUUUGGUUGCACUUUAAGAAGUCAAACUACACUAAAGAAUAUGAUUUAAUUUAUUAAACAAAACUUCAAGUUCAAGAAAAGUAUCUCAUUGCCCCCAAUGCUUUGGACACCUAUAUAUUGAAAGGUUUGUUGUCCUCAGCUUUUGUUUAGAGCAAAAGUUCGAGUCCCAUAAAGGCUCAAACAUUCCUUUCCUUCAUCCCGAGGGCGCCUUCUGUCCUCUGUUUUCUAUUUCCACACACAAAUAGCAAAAAGAAAUUAGAAUGACAACUGGGACAUAUAUAAGAGUGAAAUAAUUAAAAAAAUUAUGCUUUUUUGUUUGUCGUGUUAAAAUCGUAAGUACCGAAGUACUAUGAAAGAGAUUAAUUUACAGAAACUGAAGCCAAGGGUUAAAAAAAAAGUGCAAAGAGAAUAAUUGUAUUGGUAGCACAAUGUCAUAUUCAUACAGAGAUCAAGUAUAUUAUUUACGGCUAGUAAGGACUAAGAAUUAAUUGUACACUAUUGUUUUAUUCUACAAUCAAUCUUGACCCUUGAUGCUUGGCUCUCAAUCUUGUCCAUUGAUCUUCUCUGAUUUUGGAGACUUGAAGACCUUUCAGUAUCAUGCCUUGUUGUUGGUGUCUUCCAUGCUGUAGAACCGUCGACUUGCCAGGAAUUUGUUCAUUGAUGCAUUUUAUCAAACAGUUGGCCUGCUCAUAGCAAACAGCUCCUGUGUUAACUCCCCCUCCAUAGCUCAACUAUUUGGGAAGACAAUUAAUUGAGCUUGUUUCACAAUUAUAUGAAUCUGAAAGUUCAAGUUCAAUUCGAUGUUAUUGUUGGAGAAUUAACAAAUAAAACACACUAUUUUAUUUCUUCAACAACACUCCUCACCAAUUACAACUCUUAUUUUUCACUCUCUACACCUUAGAGAUUUUGCUACUUCACUUGAUGUUUAAACCAAAUGGGAGAGGGGGUAUUUAUACAUGAAACAAACUAAUCACAACCAUUCAUUUAUUCAACUAAUAAACAAAUCCUCACCAUCCAUUAAAACCUACUACUCACCUACUUCACCAACCACACCUAACACAAAUAAUUCAAACCUCACCAACCAUACCUACUCAUGGAACCUUCCAUGAGUUGGGCUUGAUUUAUUCAUCUUGGAUCAAGUUUAUGAUCCAACAUCUCCCCUUAAAUUUGAUCCUGUGACACCAAGCAAACUUCUGAAUCUUACAAAGUCUUCUUGCUUGAGUGGCUUAGUGAAGAUAUCAGCUGCUUGAUCUUGUGAUUUUACAUACUUGAUUUGCACUUCUUUUUUUGCAAUACACUCUUUUAUGAAAUGAUAGCAAGUGUCUAUGUGUUUACUUCGAUCAUGAAAGACUGGAUUCUUGGAUCGGGCAAUUGCUAAUUUGUUAUCAACACAAAUCUCGAUUGGCUCUUUUUGUGCCAAACUCAACUCCUUCAGCAAAUUUCUGAGCCAAAUUGCAUGACAAACACUUGAUGUGGCAGCUACAUAUUCAGCUUCACAGGUGGAUAGCGUGACAAUUGGUUGCUUCUUUGACAUCCAUGUGAAAGCAGUAUCUCCCAUGAAGAACACAAAUCAUGUUGUGCUCUUUCGAUCAUCUACAUCUCCACCCCAAUCACUAUCGCUAUAUCCAAUAAGCUUGUAGUCAUUAGAAAAUGAGUAUAACAAGCCGAAAUUAAUUGUACCUUUGAUGUAGCGAAGGAUUCUUUUUGCAGCUUUAAAAUGGGUGGUCUUUGGAUUCUUCAUGUAUCGGCUCACAAGUCCAACAGCAUAAAGGAUAUCUGGUCUUGUGCAUGUCAAAUAACGUAAGCUUCCAACCAAACUUUUAAAGAAUGUUGGAUCUAUAUCUUCGCCUUCAUCAUAUUUGGAUAACUUGACUCCGCAUUCCACUGGCGUGCUUAUAGGCUUGCAAUCAUUCAUCUUGAACCUUUUGAGAAUCUCCUUUGCAUAGCUUUCUUGGGAGAUAAAUAUGCCUUCUUCUUUUUGCUUGACUUCAAUGCUGAGGUAAUAUGCCAUCAGUCCGAUGUCAGUCAUCUCGAACUCUUUGAUCGUCACUCUCUUGAACUCUUCAAACAAGCUUGGAUUACUUCCAGUGAAGAUGAGAUCAUUCACAUACAGGCACACAAUCAAAAUAUCUCCAUCUUUUUCUUUGACGUAGAAAGCAUGUUCAUAUGGGCAUUUGUGAAGCCUUUCUCUUAAAAAUACUUGUCAAUUCUGCUAUUCCAUGCCUUUGGUGCUUGCUUUAACCCGUAAAGAGCUUUCUUCAAUCUCAAAACUUUGUCUUCAUGUCCUUUCACCACAUAGCCUAAUGGUUGUUCGAUGUAAACUUCUUCUUCAAGGAAUCCAUUCAAGAAAGCAGACUUCACAUCCAUUUGAAAAAUCUUCCAUUUGUUCUGAACAGCCAAAGAAAUAAUAACUCUAAUAGUUUCAAGUCGAGCUACAGGAGCAAAUACCUCGUCAUAGUCUAUGCCAGCCUUUUGACUAUAGCCUUUUGCAACUAACCUCGCCUUAUGCCUUUCAAUUUCUCCCUUCGCAUUUCUUUUUGUUUUAUACACCCAUUUGACACCAAUCGCCUUGUGACCUUUUGGAAGAGUAGUAAGCUCCCAAGUAUCAUUCUUCACAAUGGCUUUGAUUUCUUCAUCCAUUGCAAUUCUCCACUUCUCAUCUAGUGCAGCUUUUUGGAAGUUGACUGGCUCACAAUCAACAAAGAGGCAAAAGAGAGUGAGAUUAUCAUGUCUCUCAGUUACCUCAUAGAGAUCUUGAAGACUCCUUAUACAUUCUUCGGUUCUUUCAUUUAAGAAAGACGGCGGUGAAUCUCCGCAUGUGGUUGAUGCUGGUGAGAUAGGUAGAGUGGCAGGCUCUUGUUGUUCGUCUACUUGUUUUAUCUAUGUAUGAUCAUCUUCUUAAAUGGGAAAGAAGUUGAAGUCAUCCACACCAGAGCCAAAAUCUCAUUCUCCUUCUUCAUCAAAAACUACAUCUCGACUGAUCACGAUCUUCCCGUUGUUUGGAUUGUAAAGCUUGUGUCCUUUGGAGUUGUUUUCGUAGCCGAUGAAGAUGAACUUCUCACUUUUGUCAUCCAACUUGGCUCUACUUUCGUCUGGUACAUGUACAUGAGCAAUGCUUCCGAAAACUCUUAGAUGGGUGAUGCCGGGUUUUCUUCCACUCCAAGUUUCUUGUGGCGUCUUGCCCCCACACGCUUCUUGUUGGAGAUCGAUUGGAAAAGUAGACUGCACAUGCAACAGCUUCAGCCCAAAAUUCUUUAAGUAGCCUCUUACUCUUAAGCAUGCUUCUUGCCAUAUCGAGGAUGGUUCUGUUCUUUCUUUCUACAACACCAUUUUAUUGGGGGGGAUCUUAGAACUGUCAAAGGACGUCGAAUUCCAUUUACUUCACAAAACUCUAAAAAUUCUUUGGAAGUGAACUCUCCACCUCAAUCAGAUCUCAUGGCUUUAAUCUGGUAUCCACUUUUUUUUUUCAACUGCAGCUUUAAACUUCUUGAAAGCUUCAAAGACUUCUGAUUUUUGCUUCAAAAAAUACACCCAAGUUUUUCUUGAAAAAUCAUCUAUGAAGAGAAGGAAGUAGUUACUUUUCCAAAGGAGUUUGGCUUGAAUGGACCGCACACAUCAGUAUGAAUGAGCUCGAGUGGUUUCUGAGCUCUUGAGUUUGACUCCUUUGGAAAGCUCUUUCUGAACUGCUUGCCAAGUAAACAUCCUUCACAAAGUUGAUCAGGGUGAUUGAUGUAUGGUAAGCCUUUCACCAUGUUCUUCUUAGAUAGUAGCUCCAGUCCUCCAAAGUUGAGAUGCCCAUAUCGAAGAUGCCAAGUUCAGGAUUGAUCUUUGUGACAGGCUUUGAGACAUUUUGCAACAUCAUUUUGAAUAUUUAAUGGAAACAUUCUAUUCUUCGACAUUUUCACCUUUGUAAUUAGAUUUCCUUUGUCAUCUCUUAGGAAAAGACUAUAAUCUUUUAAGUGAACAUCAUAGCCUUUUUCUAAAAGUUGACCUAAACUAAGAAUGUUGCUUUUCAUAUUGGGCACAUAGUAAACAUUCGAAAUUAUUUGGUGGCUACCAUCUUUUGCACGAAAAAGAAUGUUACCUCUACCUUUUACUGGUACUUUUGAAUCAUCUCCAAAAGCGACACUGCCAUUCACAGAUUCACUUAGUUGCACGGACAUGCUUCUAUUUCCACUCAUAUGAUUGCUAGCACCUGUGUCAAGAUACCAUGUAUUUUCUUGAUCUCCACUUGUGUCAUUGCGUGCUAGUAAAAGUGUGCCAUCUUCACCAUUUUUCUCUUCAGCAUAGUUCACUCUCUCAUCAAUUCUGGUGCUUGGAGCUCUGCAUUCUGAAGCAUAAUGCCCAAACUUUUGACAAUUAUAGCACUGUACUUGGGAUUUGUCAUACCUCGAUCUUAGAUUGCCUCUGCCUCGUCCUCUGGUUGAGCUUUCUCCUUUGGCAUAAUUUGAGUUGUUGUUGUUGAAAUUCGAACCUCGUCCAUGACCACGACCUCUACCUCGUCCUCGACCUCUACCUCGGACAUAGUGCCUUCUUUCGUUGUCGGAUUGACUUCCAUCUUGAGAAGUUGUUCUUCGAUUCCUUGCUUUUUUUUUUGUUUUUCUUCAUAGGCUUGCAACCUUCCUUGAAGUUGCUUGAUCGUCAUAUCCUCCAAAUCUCUUGUUUCUUCAAUUGUCACAACAAUAUGGUCAAACUUCGAGUCUACUGAUCAAAGUAUCUUUUCAAUGAUCCUUACCUCUUUUAACUCCUCGCCAUUUCUUUUUAAUUCAUUGGAAACGGUCACAACCCGAGUAAAGUAGUCAGAAAUUGACUCCGAUGCCUUCAUGUGUAAGGACUCAAAUUCUCCUCGUAAUGUUUGGAAACGAACCUUUUUAACUUGCUCUGCUCCUUUGUAAGAAGUCUCUAGUUUCUCCCAUACUUCUUUUGAGGAGGUUGUACCAGCAAUCUUUUCAAAAGAAUCUUCAUAUAAUGAUUGAAAGAUGAGAUAUUUUGCUUUAUUUUCUUUCUUCUUCAAGUCUUUUAAAUUCUCCUUCUGCGCCGCAGUUAAAGUGGCUUCAUUUUCUGGCACAAUAAAGCCUUUCUCCACGAUAUCCCAUACGUCAUGUGCGCCCAAUAGAGCCUUCAUUUUAAUACUCCAAUUGUCAAACUUACUUCCCUUUAAUUGUGGAACUUGAAAUGAAAUCAUACCACCGUUUGCCAUAACUCACAAAUUGAGUGAGAAUUUGGAGAUUCUGAAAGCACAGAUGGAUCUGGCACGUCGAAAAACCUUGGGAAUGACUCGAGUCAACUUUCGGUCAAUGGUCAACAGUCAAUGCUAGUCAACGGUCAACGUCGGGCAACGGUCAAUGCCGGCUUGGUAGUCUUGGUUCAGUCCGGAUUGGUUCAGCUCGAGUUGGCUCGGUUCGACUUGACUCGGUUCAGCUCGGCUCAGCUUGGUUCAGUUCGGCUCAGCUUGGUUCAACUCGGUGAGUCGACUUAGCGUCAGGACAGAAAACUUCCGGCGGCAAGUGUGGGCGCGUUGGGUCUCGGAUCCGGAUGAUUAUUGCGGCGUCACGUUCCUCUCUUCGAGAUCUUCGAUUUGAUAUGCUAUAUGACUAUAUAUAGCAUUAAACACUAACUCUGAUACCAUUUUGUUGGAGAAUUAACAAAUAAAACACACAAAAAACACACUAUUUUAUUUCUUCAACAACACUCCUCACCAAUUACAACUCUUAUUUUUCACUCUCUACACCUUAGAGAUUUUGCUACUUCACUUGAUGUUUAAACCAAAUGGGAGAGGAGGUAUUUAUACAUGAAACAAACUAAUCACAACCAUUCAUUUAUUCAACUAAUAAACAAAUCCUCACCAUCCAUUAAAACCUACCACUCACCUACUUCACCAACCAUACCUACUCAUGGAAUCUUCCAUGAGUUGGGCUUGAUUUAUUCAUCUUGGAUCAAGUUUAUGAUCCAACAGUUAUAUGGGUAUUUCAUUUAUUUGAGUAGGGGUUAGGGGUCAAUUGGAUACAAAUUCAAAAUUAUCCUUACUUGAGAUGGUGAUAAAAGUUGGGGAUUUAGUUUGGGUGUCAUUAGCUACAAAUAUUAAACUCAUACAUCUAAUUCAAAAUUAGAGGGCUGAUAUAUGUGCAUCCUCGUGCACAUUAUAGUGACACGUGUCACCAUCCAACAACCUAUCCAAUGAAAAAUUGACCUGCAUCUUGUGCGCUUCUGAUCAAAAUCCUGAAAAUUAAUCACAAAGUUAUACUUUUAUUAUAAAAAGAAUAAAGAAACUCCAAGAAAAAAAAAAGACUUACAUAAAUAGUUUGAGUAAUCUAGAUUCCAAGUUGUCUAUAUUAGCUUGAUCUUUUUAUAAAUAGUCAUCUUCGAAAAAAAAUUCCACCAAUAUAUAUUUUAAUUUUAUGUUAAUUAAUAAAUAGAAAAAAAAAUCAUUUUAGAAUUAAUUAAAACAUUAUUUAUUGUUGCCAAAAAAAGGAAGAAUUUAGUGAUAAGAAAAAAGUGUCUCAAAUAUACGUUAAAAAAAUUAAUCAUGGUGGGUUCGAUUGAUUGAAUUUUUUUUAUCUUUUUCUUUUUUAAGAAUUAAGACAAUUGGAUUGAUUGAGUAAUAAUAAAAUAUAUGUAUUUGGCAAAUGGCAGGGAGGCUUUCGUCUAAUGCAGAUUGAUUAGAGAGAAAAUAUAACAAUUUUAAGCUCGUCAGAUUCGAAGCUGCUUACUUGUCGUGUGGGGAUCACUUCCGUGUCUUAUUUUUCUAGAAAAAUCUUGAUCAUUGGAUUUCCCAUUAGUCAAUACAGAAAUGUUGAUCUUGAUUCUUGAUUAAGAUCGAAGUUUGAUUCUAACCAACAUGAUGUCAGAUUCAGAUUGCGAAGCAAGCAAAUUGAAAGUAACUUGUUCUAUUUUGAUAAACACAAGUUCUAAUAAAACAUUCUCAUAGUAAAGUGAAUUACCAUCCAACGAUCCAACUCAUGUUUUCAAAUUGUAAAUUGCAAAUCAUGUGUUUGCUCCAUUACAGCGUUUCUUCAAUCUGAAAUAGAGAAUCAUUUGUGUUCUGGAUUAAUCGUGGGUCUAUAUCCAAAUCUAAAAAUUGACUAACUUAAUUUCUAUUAAAUUCUUAAUCCUAACAAGAAAAAUUGAAGAUUAAAAACGACUAAUUUGGUACCAUACCACUAUUGUAACAUAGGUAGAUCCUCUAUUAAUUGGAGUAAAGAUUGAAUUAUCUCAUUUAUUACGGUUUAUCAAAAUCUUGUGUCAAAAUCUAUUAAUGAUAUAGGUUCAAGGAUGAAAGAGUCACUUCAUUACUUUUGAGUUCGCAAAUAGAUGAAUGGAUCUUAUUUUUAGAUUCCGGAGACAAGUUUAUUGGAAGAAACAAGUUUAUUGAUGUGAGGCCAUUGAGAUUGUAAGUUUUAAAUCUGAGAAGAAUACCCACACACCCAUUAUCCUAUUACUCUUAUAUCACAUGAAGAGAAUUCAACAUUUGAUUCACAAGGAAAAAAUUUGUGAGGAUUGUGAGGGUUGAUGGAAUAUAAUUUAGAUACAAAGUGUUUACCAGUGCGAUGCUUCGCAAGUGUUCUGGAAUCAAUAUAAACUCACAUUAUUUUCAUAGUGAUUGUUUCAUUUGCACGUGGAUAUAAUCACAUGUCGAGAUUUUUUUCCUUAAAUUAUGGUCUUAUUUAGUACCGAGGUGUUAUAUCUUUUAACGUACAAUUAUUGUUGGAAAAAAGUUGCAACUAUCAAAUAAAAUUAAUACUAUGUGCUAAAUAUAAUUGUUAAAUAAUAAUUUUGACAAAAUUAGUGAAGUUAUAUAGAUUUUUUUUUAUCAUCCAAGUAUAAAAUCAAAUCAACUUAACUUCUAAGUUAUAUAUCGGCUACUGUUUAUCAUAUGUUUUAGUUCUGUAACUUUUAAGUUAUAGUUACCCAACCUUAAUUCUAAACAAGACCUAUAAAGAUCAAAGAUUUCCUCAUUAAAUUAUAUGUCUUGUGAUUGCUUAUUUAAUUUAUAUUUUUGUUAUUUAUCUUUAUUAAUUAUAAUCAUCUUUUUAUAAAUUAAAAUUGAAGGAAGUUGAUUGAUGUUGUUGACACACACACACACACGCACGCACACACUCACAAAGAUAUAUUGGAAGUGCUUACGUUGACUCAAAGUUGUUGGGAAUUAAUGCAUGUAUUAAUUGAUUUAUUGGGAGUGUUUAAAUGAUUUUGUGAUUUACUUGAUUUAUUGAUUGAAUAUUGUUUGAUUGCUUCACAUCCAUUCUAGAAAGUUUAUUUCUUUGUGAAAUUUCAACGAAAUAUGUUUUUGUUUUUAAAUAAGGGUGUUCUAAAUAAUGUUAAAAAAUAUAUGGACUAAUUAGAAUUAAUUAUUAGGUAAUUAACUUAAUCUGUACAGGGUGAAACAACAUUUAUCCUAAUUAUAUCAUGAUAAAUACUUUUCCGAUUAGAAUUAGGAAAUCAUAGGUUUGUUGAAUUAUUAUUUUUAUUUUUCUUUGCAGAAACGGAUUAGAGAAUUAGAAAACAAUGUUGAUGUCAAAAUCUGAUCUAGUCGGUUAGCGACUUAAUAUCAUAUUACUGCACCAGCAUUAAAUUUAUUUGGUGGAGAAUCGGCUGGUCAAUUGUCAAGAUGUCCUGCAAUCACUAGCGAUUAACCUACGAAUACUUGAAAUCACAGAAGACGGUAAGAGGCACUGGAAGUUUUUUCAACGUGAACCUUCUGACGCUCAAGUCAGUUUAUAGGUUUACCAUAAUAAAAAUAAAUAAUUUCUAUUUAAAACAAAAAAUAGAGAUCAAAAGCUCAAAAAUAAAACCCAAUCCCAAUAUGAAGAAUAAUUUUUUUUUUUUAGCUUGGCCGAAUCCUUCUGCCUCCUAAAGAAACAUAACAGAGAAGUAGGUAGCCAUGUUCCCUAUGUAACGCCCCACUCCCAUCUUUUAUUCCUCCCCCUCUCUUCCGUUGCCUUCUUUUGCUCACUAUCCUUUAUAAUUUUUUAUGCUUGUCUUCCCAAAAUAGCCUUUGAAUACACAAGUAAAUGUCUAGGCUUUGGUGAGGAUAGUUUGGUCAUUGCAUUUUACAAGUAAGAUGACUGGUGGAGAAAAAUGAGGAGUGCACAAAACUCUUCAGCAAAUCCCACCAACAAUUCCAUUUUCUUAAUUAAUUAAUCUCCUUUUUUUAUCCCCAAACAAAUCCUAAUGAUACCAUUAUCAGGUUUAAAACAGUACACAAAUAGUGAAAAGCUAACUAGUCUGUAGAGUAAUUUGCUAAUUGCUAUCUCCUCUCUACGCGCGCUGAAUAAUUUGUUGCAUGCAAACUUUUUAUUUUAUGCAAAUCGUAUGUACUGUAACAUUGGAAUUGAUGGAUAAGCAAAAAUACAAGAAUAUUUAUGCCAAUAAAAAUAGUUUUUUUUUCCUUUUUAAAUAAACACAACGCGAUGUUGCUCUGCUCUACAUUUUUGCUAUCUCUUUAUUCUUUUUUUUUUUUUUUGGGCUUCUUAAAGCCUCAAACUUUGAUAACCAAAACUUCAUCGACCUAUGAAAAAAUCUGCAGAUUAGUUUUUAUUAUCGGAAUAAUUGUUUGAGAAUACUAAAACAAAAUAUAAAAUAAGAAAAUAGGGGGUUAAAUUAGAGGGGGAAAAAAGGCAUGUUCUAUCGAUUACUAUAGCUUAAGGGGAAAAAAAAAAUCAAUUGGGAAUUUUUUUCUUUAAUUUUUGUUUUACUUGAUAGAGAUUUCUCCUUAGUCCUUACAGUUUUAAGUUUGGAUGCCGUAGGGUUAGUAAUUUAGUAUUUCCCUUGCAAGCUGAGGUUAAGGAUGGAAUUUCUUUAAAGAAAUUAAAAAGGAUUAAAGAAAAGCAUACCAAUAGGUAAUUAUAAAUAACCAUAAAUAAACAUAAAAAAAAUGUUUAUGAAGUAAAUUACACAUGCACAUAUUAUUUUUUUGUUAUAUUUCUUACUUGUCUAUUUUAUUUGCUGCUUGAUAACCCUUAAAUACUAAUGUAUUAAAAAAGAUUACUCAAAAUGAUGACCACUGGCUUCGCACCAUUUAACCGGCAUACAUUUCUACAAAUUGAACAAGGCUAUUGAUUUUCAUUAUUUUUUUUUAUAAAUUACUAUUUUAAUUUUCACUUUUUAUUGGGUUGUUUAACGGAUUAGUGAAGUUGGUGGUCGUGAUGCACUCACAAGGUACAAUUUUAUUUUAUAAUUUCAAAUUUGUAUUUUAAAAUGCAGGUACAUUAUGUAUACAUAAUUAUUGAUUUUCAUAUGUGGGUGUUUUGAAAUAUUGCUAAAAGACCAAACUUUAAUAAACUAUUUUUCAUCUUUUUUUCCCUUUUUUCCUAAAGGUUGAGUGAUAUCCGCAUUUUAAAUUCAUGUGCUACAAAAGCUAAUGAAUGCACAAAAUUCUUUUAUUUUUUCCUAGAAAAAUGGUAAGAGAAGAAGAUUUUUCUCUUGAAAAAGAAAAACUAAUACGAUGCAAACAUAGGAAAGAGGUCAGUGUUUUGGAUUAGAAUUUAGUAUUGAGCUGAAUUUUAUACUAAACUCUUUUAUAGUACUGCGAUUAAUGAACUCAUGAUUUGCUUUUGCUUUUACUUCAAGUGAAAGAAAGAGGAAACCUUUUGUUUUUUGUUUGAUUCUUGACUAUAGAUGUUACCUAUAUAGAGAGUUGAGGUAGCUGCCUUAAGUGAUGGUGAUAAAAAGAUUAAGCAGCGCACACAAUCUUACUGUCGUCCAGACCAUCCAGCUGUGAUGGCUCUAGUUUUUUGGUUACAUUAGCUUUAGUGGAAAGGAGGGCCAAUUUAACAAAGACUAGAUUUGGUGGCUUACUAUAAUGCUUAUUCUCAAGGAAUCUAAUGUUAUAAGAUGAUUUAAUGAUCUUCUAUGAUUGUGAGUAGUAUAGUAUAAUUGAAAAGAGCCUGGGCUCCUAUGAUGAAUAUUUAAUAGUAACACAAUAUUGUGAUUGAAAAAAACACUGUUACAAUAAACUCUUCAUUUAUUCAUUGCGGAUAUUGAAUGGCAAACAGAGAAUAAAAUGAAGCAGAGGAAUCUCAUUGCUAGUAAAAUUGACCCUCUUUAAUGUUAUAUGGCACAGGUGUGUGUACAGCAAGAGCAAGUGACUUGCAGUUUUUUUUUGUAAAAUAUACAGGUUAUGACCAUGAUCAUUGUAGUUAGGUUUUGACGAUUUUAGAUGCUUUUUUUAUUUUUUUUAAAUUGUGACACCUUUGAUUUAUGGUAGUUUUGCAGAAGAAAAAAAUAUAUAUAAAAAUUAGGAAGAAUGAGUUAACUAACAAUUGCAAUCAUUACAGCAAUGUUGAUGAGUGAUACAUCAUUUGAAAUUUACUUGUCAGUUGCUAAAAUGAUGAAAAAAAACAAUAAACAAUAGCAGUAAUAUUUUUAUGGAAAUUCUUGGUUUUUAUGGAAAUACUCUUGCUGAAAUUCUAAUUUUGACUUUCAACUCUUGGUUUUUAUGGAAAGUAAAAUGACUUGUUUGUUAUAUUCAUACAAUCCACUCUACAUAAUGAUUUCAUUUUAAUAAAUGCUUGAUGAUCUCCACUGAAAAACUACUUCAAUUCUUUUGUUUUAUUUAACUUUUUGGUUGUUGAAAAUAGCCUUAAUUUUCAAAUAACGGGAGAAAGAGUAAAGAACAUUUAACAAAUUUAUGUGCCAAAAAUAAAGGAGAAAUUGAAGAGAAAGGGUGCUUGCAGAAGUGGGUGCAAAGAUAAAUCAGUCUAUAAGAAUUAUUGUGGUUAUUAAUUUUUUGGCAAUAUAAAAAAUUUUCAGCAAAUAAAAAUUGAUUUUUUCCAAUUUACUAAAAAAUUAAUUAAAAACUUUGGCGAUAGCAUUUUUUGUUGGUGCAUGUACCCUCCCUUUUAAAAAAAUAUAAUAAUUAAUACUUAAUAUAGUAUUAAAUACGAAAAUAUCAAAAUUUGACUACACAAAUUUAUAUCAUUAGGUCCUUAAAAUUUAAAAUUGAAGACAUAGAAUGAAAUAUAUAUAUAUAUAUAUAAAUUUUAUAAUCUUAAAAUAUUUGAGCUUUGAAAGAUUUUUUAAAACAAAUGUACUUUUAUUUUUGUACAAUCAAUAUUUACUUAUUUAUUAUAUUUUUAUUCAUUAACUAUCAAUUGUGUGAGUAUAUCUACUUAGAAAUAUCAUAUCAAGGGAGAAUCUUGAUCCCACGUACACGCAAAUAUGUUAAUUUCUAUACGCUUCACUUACCUGUAGAAUCAAUUAUCUAAAAUGCAAGUUUGUGGCCACAAAAAAGGCCAAAGAAAGAAGAUAAUAACAAUUGACUUGUAUAUUAUACUCAUACAAUCCACUCGACAUAAUGAUAUCAUUUUAAUAAGGCAAUGGCUGAUGAUCUCCAUUGAAAAACUAAUUCAUUUUUUUUGCUUCAUUUAACUUUUUGGUUGUUGAAAAUAACCUUAAUUAUCAAAUAAUUGGAGAAAGAGUAAAGAACAUUUAACAAAUUUAUGUGCAAAAAAAAAAGGAGAAGUUGAAGAGAAAGGGUGCUUGCAGAAGUGGGUGUCAAAGAAAAAUCGGUCCAUAAGAAUUAUUGCGGUUAUUUUUUCGCAAUAUAAAAUUUUUAUAGCGUGUAAAAAUUAAUUUUUUUUCCGAUUUACUAAAAAAUUAACUAAAAACUUCUGCGACAGCAUUUUUUAUGGGUGCAUAUACCCUCCCUUUAAAAAAAUAAUAAUAAUUAAUGCUUAAUAUAGUAUUAAAUACGAAAAUAUCAAUAUUUGACAACUCAAAUUUAUAUCAUUAGGUCCUUAAAAUUUAAAAUUGAAGACACGAAAAGAAAUAUAUAAAAAUUUCAUUCUCAUGGAAAGGAUUCUCUUAUAAUCUUAUAAUAUUUGAGUUUUGAAAUUUUUUUGAAACAAAUGUAAUUUUAUUUGUGUACAAUCAAUAUUUACUUAUUUAUUAUAUUUUAAUUUAUUAACUAUCAAUCAUGUAAGUAUAUUUAGUCAGAAAAAUUAUAUCAAGAGAGAAUUCUAAUUUCACACAAACACAAAUACAAGACAAAUAUGUCAAUUUCUAUACUAUUCACUUUCCUGUAGAAUCAAUUAUCUAAAAUGGAAGUUUGUGGCUACAGAAAACUCGCCAAAGAAAGAAGAUAAUAACAAUUGAGCAUUGAUAGCAAAACUAAUGCAUCAUUUUCUUCUUGACUUGAUGAGAUGGCGCCAUCACAAAAAAACAAGUACCUUAAUUGACGGGCACUGAGUGAUGUGAAUACUACCAGCCAGUUCAUCUCUUCCAGUCUUGCUUAAUCACAAUCACAAACACCACGAGAUUGACAUUUGCAUUAUAUAUAUGUUCAGCAAUCGAAACACCUUGCAUUACCAAAUUAACCGCUAACAAACAAAGCAAUCUUUCAGGGAGAGAAACUUUAGUCUCAGUAUGAUCACUGUGUCAUUAACCCACUUCCUGCUUCUUUGCUUGGUUGUUGUAGCAGCAGCAGCAGCAAGCAACAAUAUUACCACAGACCAACAAGCUCUUCUUGCCCUGAAAGAUCAUAUAAUUUAUGAUCCGACCAACCUUUUAGCCCAUAAUUGGACCUCGAAUACAUCUGUUUGUACCUGGAUUGGCAUCACUUGUGAUGUCAAUAGCCAUAGAGUCGCAGCCUUAGAUAUUUCUCAAUUCAAUCUACAAGGCACCAUCCCUCCUCAACUUGGAAACCUCUCUUCACUCACAACGCUUAAUCUUAGUCAUAACAAGCUUUCUGGAAACGUUCCCUCCUCCAUCUACACAAUGCAUACGCUAAAAUUUCUUGACUUCACUGAUAACCAGCUCUCUGGUUCGGUGUCUUCCUUCGUCUUCAACAUGUCUUCAAUAGUAGAAAUUCGUUUGACCAAUAACAGAUUUUCUGGUGAGCUUCCGAAAAAUAUUUGCAACUAUCUUCCUCAUUUGAAAGCCCUUUUUUUGGACAAAAACAUGUUUCAUAGCAAAAUUCCUUCUGCUUUAUCAAAGUGCAAACAACUGCAACAAUUAAAUUUGCAGUUCAAUAAUUUAUCCGGUGCAAUACCAAAAGAAAUCGGCAACUUGACUAUGCUCAAAGGGAUAUCUCUAUUAUGCAACAAACUCCACGGUAUGUUCAUAAUACUAUGUAAAUAUUUUAAUUUCUCACUUGUUAUUUUUCUUGAAUACUUUAGAUAAGAUCUUGUAACAGAGAUUUUUUUGCAUCUAUGUUAAUUUGCCAGGUGAGAUACCCCACGAAAUCGCUAAUCUUCGAAAUCUAGAGGGUUUAGUGCUUGGAAUGAACAACCUAGUUGGUGUGUUACCAGCUCCAAUCUUCAACAUGUCAACACUGAAGGUACUUAUCCUCAUGGAUAACUCUCUCAGUGGAAGUCUACCAUCAAGAAUAGACCUUUCACUUCCAACUGUUGAGUUUCUUGAGUUGGCACAUAAUAGAUUUUCUGGAACCAUUCCUAGUUCCAUCACCAAUGCUUCUAAGCUCACCGUUCUAGCGUUGGGAGAGAACACAUUUUCGGGCUUCAUUCCAAACACAAUUGGUAAUUUAAAAAACCUUGAGUGGCUCAGCUUGGAGAAUAAUUACUUGAAAUCUUCAACCUCAAAAUUGAGCUUUCUUUCCUCUUUGGCAAAUUGCAAGAAAUUAAGAUUCUUAAACUUAGGAGGCAAUCCACUCGACGGUAUCCUUCCAAGUUCAAUAGGUAAUCUUUCUAAGUCUUUGGAAACACUUGUCAUCGCCAAUUGCAGUAUUAGUGGCAACAUUCCGGAAGCAAUUAGCAAUUUAAGCAACUUGUUGACCUUAGUAUUAGAACGCAAUAAAUUGACUGGACCAAUUCCAAUUACAUUCGGCCCACUACAGAAACUCCAAGGCUUAUAUCUUGCAUUCAAUAUGUUGGUAGGUUCAUUCCCAGAUGAGCUUUGCCAUCUAGGUAGGCUGAAUGAAUUGGUCUUAUUUGGCAAUAAGCUUUCAGGAUCUAUACCUUCAUGCUUAAGUAACCUCACUUCUCUGAAAUCUCUCUACUUAGGGUCCAAUAGGUUUACUUCUGUUAUUCCCUCAACCUUCUGGAGCCUAAAAUACAUCUUGUUCUUUGACUUUUCAUCAAAUUUCUUGGUGGGUCCUCUUUCUUCAGACAUAGGUAAUUUGAAGGUGCUUCUAGGAAUAAAUUUAUCAGAAAAUAACUUAUCGGGUGAUAUGCCAGCCACAAUUGGAGGACUAAAAAACCUUCAAAUUAUGGACCUAGCAUAUAAUAGAUUGGAAGGCCCAAUUCCUGAAUCAUUUGGUGACUUGACAAGUUUGGAGGUUUUGAAUUUGUCAAAUAAUAAAAUCUCCGGGUCUAUUCCAAAAUCCUUGGGGAAACUCUUUUACCUCCGAGAGUUAAAUCUCUCUUUCAAUGAACUAGAAGGUGAGAUUCCUAGUGGAGGAAUUUUUGCCAACUUCACAGCUGAGUCAUUUAUGGGAAAUGAGUUAUUGUGUGGUUUACCAAAUCUUCAAGUCCAACCAUGCAAAGUUAGCAAGCCGAGGACAGAACAUAAAUCAAGGAAAAAGAUACUUCUCAUUGUGAUUGUUUUGCCAUUGAGUAUUGCUCUAACGAUAGCAAUCACUCUAGCUCUCCAAUCUAAGCUGAUCGAAUGUGGAAAAAGAAGCACGGUGUUAUCAAAUGAUAGUAUCUUGUCAUCACAAGCAACACUAAGAAGAUUUUCAUACUUAGAACUUUUACGAGCAACAGAUAAUUUUGCUGAAAACAGCAUAAUUGGCAGAGGAGGUUUUGGUUCCGUUUAUGGAGCAAGACUUGAAGAUGGGAUGAAGAUUGCAAUAAAAGUGUUUCACCAGCAAUGUGCAAGCGCAUUGAAGAGUUUUGAGGCUGAAUGUGAAGUGUUAAAAAAUAUUCGCCAUCGAAACCUUAUCAAAGUUAUCAGCAGUUGCUCGAACGAUGACUUCAAAGCAUUAGUCCUAGAAUACAUGUCCAACGGGAGCUUGGGGGAUUGGUUGCAUUCGAGCAAUUACGUGCUGAAUAUUUUUCGAAGGUUGAACAUAAUGAUUGACUUUGCAUCAGCUUUAGAAUAUCUCCACUUCGAUCAUUCAACUCCUGUUAUUCAUUGUGACUUAAAGCCUAGUAAUGUAUUGUUGGACGAAAAUAUGGUUGCUCAUUUGAGUGAUUUUGGCAUAGCAAAGCUUUUAAGUGGAGAAGAUGAGUCUACGAUGCGAACAAAAACCCUUGCCACUAUAGGUUAUAUGGCACCAGGUUUGCUUCAAACAACUUUUUUUGUUGGUGCAUGUACCCUCCCUUUAAAAAAUAUAUAAUAAUUAAUACUUAAUAUAUUAUUAAAUACGAAAAUAUCAAUAUUUGACUACACAAAUUUAUGUCAUUAGGUCCUUAAAAUUUAAAAUUGAAGACACAAAAUGAAAUAUAUAUAUAAAUUUCAUUCUCAUAGGAAAUGAUCCUCUUAUAAUCUUAAAAUAUUUGAGCUUUGAAAGAUUUUUUAAAACAAAUGUACUUUUAUUUUUGUACAAUCAAUAUUUACUUAUUUAUUAUAUUUUUAUUCAUUAACUAUCAAUCAUGUGAGUAUAUUUACUCAGAAAUAUCAUAUCAAGGAAGAAUCUUGAUCCCACGCACACGCAAAUAUGUUAAUUUCUAUACGCUUCACUUACCUGUAGAAUCAAUUAUCUAAAAUGCAAGUUUGUGGCCACAAAAAAGGCCAAAGAAAGAAGAUAAUAACAAUUGACUUGUAUAUUAUACUCAUACAAUCCACUCGACAUAAUGAUAUCAUUUUAAUAAGGCAAUGGCUGAUGAUCUCCAUGACUCCAUUGAAAAACUAAUUCAAUUUUUUUUGCUUCAUUUAACUUUUUGGUUGUUGAAAAUAACCUUAAUUAUCAAAUAAUUGGAGAAAGAGUAAAGAACAUUUAAAAAAUUUAUGAGCAAAAAAAAAAGGAGAAGUUGAAGAGAAAGGGUGCUUGCAGAAGUGGGUGUCAAAGAAAAAUCAGUCCAUAAGAAUUAUUGCGGUUAUUUUUUGGCAAUAUAAAUUUUUUAUAGCAAGUAAAAAUUAAUUUUUUUCCGAUUUACUAAAAAAUUAACUAAAAACUUCUGCGACAACAUUUUUUAUGGGUGCAUAUAGCCUCCCUUUAAAAAAAUAAUAAUAAUUAAUGCUUAAUAUAGUAUUAAAUACGAAAAUGUCAAUAUUUGAUUACUCAAAUUUAUAUCAUUAGGUCCUUAAAAUUUAAAAUUAAAGAUACGAAAGGAAAUAUAUAUAAAUUUCAUUCUCAUGGAAAGGAUUCUCUUAUAAUUUUAUAAUAUUUGAGUUUUGAAAUUUUUUUGAAACAAAUGUAAUUUUAUUUGUGUACAAUCAAUAUUUACUCAUUUAUUAUAUUUUAAUUUAUUUAUUAUAUUUAGUCGGAAAAAUUAUAUCAAGAGAGAAUCCUAAUUUCACGCAAACACAAAUACAAGACAAAUAUGUUAAUUUCUAUACUAUUCACUUUCCUGUAGAAUCAAUUAUCUAAAAUGCAAGUUUGUGGCUACAGAAAACUCGCCAAAGAAAGAAGAUAAUAACAAUUGAGCAUUGAUAGCAAAACUAAUGCAUCAUUUUCUUCUUGACUUGAUGAGAUGGCGCCAUCACAAAAAAACAAGUACCUUAAUUGACGGGCACUGAGUGAUGUGAAUACUACCAGCCAGUUCAUCUCUUCCAGUCUUGCUUAAUCACAAUCACAAACACCUCGAGAUCGACAUUUGCAUUAUAUAUAUGUUCAGCAAUCGAAACACCUUGCAUUACCAAAUAAACCAGUAACAAACAAAGCAAUCUUUCAUGGAGAGAAACUUUAGUCUCAGUAUGAUCACUGUGUCAUUAACCCACUGCCUGCUUCUUUGCUUGGUUGUUGCAGCAGCAGCAGCAGCAGCAGCAAGCAACAAUAUUACCACAGACCAACAAGCUCUUCUUGCCCUGAAAGAUCAUAUAAUUUAUGAUCCGACCAACCUUUUAGCCCAUAAUUGGACCUCGAAUACCUCUGUUUGUACCUGGAUUGGCAUCACUUGUGAUGUCAAUAGCCAUAGAGUCACAGCCUUAGAUAUUUCUCAAUUCAAUCUACAAGGCACCAUCCCUCCUCAACUUGGAAACCUCUCUUCACUCACAACACUUAAUCUUAGUCAUAACAAGCUUUCUGGAAGCGUUCCCUCCUCCAUCUACACCAUGCAUAGGCUAAAAUUUCUUGACUUCACUGAUAACCAGCUCUCUGGUUCGGUGUCUUCCUUCGUCUUCAACAUGUCUUCAAUAUUAGACAUUCGUUUGACCAAUAACAGACUUUCUGGUGAGCUUCCGAAAAAUAUUUGCAACUAUCUUCCUCAUUUGAAAGCCCUUUUUUUGGACAAAAACAUGUUUCAUAGCAAAAUUCCUUCUGCUUUAUCAAAGUGCAAACAACUGCAACAAUUAAAUUUGCAGUUCAAUAAUUUAUCCGGUGCAAUACCAAAAGAAAUCGGCAACUUGACUAGGCUCAAAGGGAUAUAUCUCGGCGCCAACAAACUCCACGGUAUGUUCAUAAUACUAUGUAAAUAUUUUAAUUUCUCACUUGUUAUUUUUCUUGAAUACUUUAGAUAAGAUCAUGUAACGGAGAUUUUUUUGCAUCUAUGUUAAUUUGCCAGGUGAGAUACCGCACGAAAUCGCUAAUCUUCGAAAUCUAGGGGAUUUAGUGCUUGGAAUGAACAACCUAGUUGGUGUGUUACCAGCUCCAAUCUUCAACAUGUCAACACUGAAGGUACUUAUCCUCAUAAACAACUCUCUCAGCGGAAGUCUUCCAUCAAGAAUAGACCUUUCACUUCCAACGGUUGAGGUUCUUAUCUUGUCACUUAAUAGAUUUUCUGGAACCAUUCCUAGUUCCAUCACCAAUGCUUCUAAGCUCGCCUUGCUAGAAUUGGGAGUAAACACAUUUUCGGGAUUUAUUCCAAACACAAUUGGUAAUUUAAGAAACCUUGAGUGGCUCGGCUUGGGUAAUAACUACUUGACAUCUUCAACCUCAAAAUUGAGCUUUCUUUCCUCUUUGGCAAAUUGCAAGAAAUUAAGAGACAUAGGCUUAACAGGCAAUCCACUCAACGGUAUCCUUCCAAGUUCAAUAGGUAAUCUUUCCAUGUCUUUGAAAACACUUUACAUCGGCAAUUGCAGUAUUAGUGGCAACAUUCCUCAAUCAAUUGGCAAUUUAAGCAACUUAUUGGCCUUAGUAUUAGAAGUCAAUAAAUUGACUGGACCUAUCCCAACUACAUUCGGCCGACUGCAGAAACUCCAAGGCUUAUAUCUUGCAUUCAAUAAGUUGGUAGGUUCAUUCCCAGAUGAGCUUUGCCAUCUAGCAAGGCUGGAUCAAUUGGUCUUAUUUGGCAAUAAGCUUUCAGGAUCUAUACCUUCAUGCUUAAGUAAUCUCACUUCUCUGAGAUCUCUCUACUUAGGGUCCAAUAGGUUUACUUCUGUCAUUCCCUCAACUUUCUGGAGCCUAAAAGACAUCUUGUUCUUUGACUUUUCAUCAAAUUUCUUGGUGGGUCCUCUUUCUUCAGACAUAGGUAAUUUGAAGGUGCUUCUAGGAAUAAAUUUAUCAGAAAAUAACUUAUCGGGUGAUAUGCCAGCCACAAUUGGAGGACUAAAAAACCUUCAAAUUAUGGACCUAGCAUAUAAUAGAUUGGAAGGCCCAAUUCCUGAAUCAUUUGGUGACUUGACAAGUUUGGAGGUUUUGAAUUUGUCAAAUAAUAAAAUCUCCGGGUCUAUUCCAAAAUCCUUGGGGAAACUCUUUUACCUCCGAGAGUUAAAUCUCUCUUUCAAUGAACUAGAAGGUGAGAUUCCUAGUGGAGGAAUUUUUGCCAACUUCACAGCUGAGUCAUUUAUGGGAAAUGAGUUAUUGUGUGGUUUACCAAAUCUUCAAGUCCAACCAUGCAAAGUUAGCAAGCCGAGGACAGAACAUAAAUCAAGGAAAAAGAUACUUCUCAUUGUGAUUGUUUUGCCAUUGAGUAUUGCUCUAACGAUAGCAAUCACUCUAGCUCUCCAAUCUAAGCUGAUCGAAUGUGGAAAAAGAAGCACGGUGUUAUCAAAUGAUAGUAUCUUGUCAUCACAAGCAACACUAAGAAGAUUUUCAUACUUAGAACUUUUACGAGCAACAGAUAAUUUUGCUGAAAACAGCAUAAUUGGCAGAGGAGGUUUUGGUUCCGUUUAUGGAGCAAGACUUGAAGAUGGGAUGAAGAUUGCAAUAAAAGUGUUUCACCAGCAAUGUGCAAGCGCAUUGAAGAGUUUUGAGGCUGAAUGUGAAGUGUUAAAAAAUAUUCGCCAUCGAAACCUUAUCAAAGUUAUCAGCAGUUGCUCGAACGAUGACUUCAAAGCAUUAGUCCUAGAAUACAUGUCCAACGGGAGCUUAGGGGAUUGGCUGCAUUCGAGCAAUUACGUGCUGAAUAUUUUUCAAAGGUUGAACAUAAUGAUUGACGUUGCAUCAGCUUUAGAAUAUCUCCACUUUGAUCAUUCAACUCCUAUUAUUCAUUGUGACUUAAAGCCUAGUAAUGUAUUGUUGGAUGAAAAUAUGGUUGCUCAUUUGAGUGAUUUUGGCAUAGCAAAGCUUUUAAGUGGAGAGGAUGAGUCUACGAUGCGAACAAAAACCCUUGCCACUAUAGGUUAUAUGGCACCAGGUUUGCUUCAAACAACUUUUUUUUAAAGUUCAUUUUAAAUUUUCCAACUUAUUGAUUUUUACAAUCCUCAUAUCAAAAUGUUAUUGAUUAUUUAUCUAAUUGUGAAAUUAAUUUGAUUAAUAGAGUACGGCAUUGAAGGAGAAGUAUCUACAAAAAGUGAUGUUUACAGCUAUGGGAUUAUGUUGAUGGAAACUUUUACCAAGAAAAAACCCACAGAUGAAAUUUUUGUUGGGGAAUUGAGCUUAAAGCGUUGGGUUAAUGACUUGCUUCCUACUUCAUUAGUGGAAGUUGUGGACAAAACUCUGCUAAGUGGAGAGGAAAAACAUUCUGCAGCAAAGGAGCAAUGUCUGUUGUCUAUCUUUAGUUUGGCUCUGGAGUGUACAAUGGAAUCACCGGAAAAGAGGAUUAAUGCAAAAGAUAUUGUUACUAGAUUACUCAAGAUAAGAGACACAUUGAGUAAAAGGAUCGGAAAUUUAAGUUAAUUUCGUUUGCUUUCAUUGAUAGUUAAUCUGAAUUCAUGUAAUAAGUGUAGGAAUCUUAUAUCUUUUCCUUUCAUAUAUUUUUUUUUCUUGAGAAAACUGUUGUAGUCAUCUUGUUUCCAUGGACAGAGUUGAUUUAGUUCUUCCAAAAAAUGCUACUGAUGACCUUUGUUUAAUACUUUCUCUUUUUUUGCAUGUGUUUAGGUAGAACAGUGGUUUGGCUGCAGGCUAAGAAGUCUAACUACACUAAAAGAAUAUGAUUUAAUUUAUUAAACAAAACUUCAAGUUCAAGAAAAGUAUUUCACUGCCCCCAAUGCUUUGGACACCUACUUGUUGCGGACCGCCCAAUUCGCUAGCCCAAUUGCCCACAAUUUCGGGCUAGAGAGCCAACACAAGGCCAAGAGUGCUAGCUUGGCCCAAUUCCGAAAGGUUCUAGGCAACUCUAGCACAUGUGAACAUGUAAAUAUUCUAGAAUACUUUAUACAAUUCCAGCACAUGCAAAUAGCUAGGAAAUUGUAAAAUACUCUAGAGUUUGACCAAGUUUGGCAAAGUUAGGCAAAGUUAGGCAAAGCCUCCCCUAUAAAUAUGGGAUGGCAUUAGGCAUUUGUAUCCAAAAAGCUUUGUAAGCAACUUAAGCAUUGUAUUCUCUCUUUGUGCAAUACAAGUUUUCUUCUUUGGCUCAAUUGCUCUCUUCUCUAGUUCGAGAAGCUCUAGGCUUACUUAGCAACAUUCGGCAAAGUUGUCUAAGUGCCGCACGGGUUAGCUGCGCAAAACACUCAUCUCGUGACAAGUGGUAUCAGAGCUAAGGUUUGCACGCACGCAAAUUAGCUCACGAAGCAAUGGCCAACCCUUCGAACGUAGCACAAGAGGGUGUUGUUGGUGUGGAUGUUCCACCGGAACUAAGCCGUGGCCGAGAGGGAGAACGUGCCCAAGGCAAGACUCGCGGCAAGUCCAAGGCCCUAUCCGUGGAUGCGUUGGAGCCUCGUGUAGGCACUCUCGAAAUCGCAUUGUCCACCGCUCAAGAAAGCCUCGAGGGAUUGGAGGAACGAGUGGACGGACUCGAGGGAGAAUACGCCGAAUUCACGGUGGCAACCAAAGCUCUCAUCCAAGAACAAGCAAACACUCUUCGAGGUGAGUGUUCAAGACGAACUACGCGCUGUCCGUGCGGAAGUGGAUGAAGUCCGCUCGGAUUGGGCAUGGCACAAGCGCACACUCUCCUCAAGUCCAGCUUCCGCAAACUCGAGUGAUGCGCGCCGCAUUGACGUGCCAAAGCCCGACACCUACGAUGGCACACGCAAUGCCACAAUCGUGGAUAAUUUCCUCUUUGGUCUGGAUCAAUACUUUAAUGCCAUGGGUGUACGAGAUGAGGCAUCGAAAGUGGGCACUGCACCCACCUAUCUUAGAGGCGCUGCACAACUAUGGUGGCGUCGCAAACAUGGCGAGAUGGGCAAGGGCAUUUGCACCAUCGACAUUUGGUCCGACUUCAAGCAAGAACUCCGAAAGCAGUUCGCCCCAAGCAAUGCGGAGAAGGAAGCGCGAGCGCGCUUACGUCGCCUCAAGCAAUCGGGUAGCAUUCGGGACUACAUCAACGAGUUCACUACCCUUAUGUUGGAGAUAAGCGACAUGUCCAACAAGGAUUCACUCUUCUACUUCCAAGAUGGCCUCAAGGAUUGGGCCAAAACCGAGCUUGAUAGGCGUGGUGUUCAAACACUUGACGACGCCAUCGCCAUUGCGGAAUCGCUCACCGAAUACUCUACCCAAUCCAAAGACAAGAAGUCUAGCCAAGGCAAAGGUGGGGGAGAGAGUCGUAAGGACAAGGGCAACAACCGCAAAGAUUGGGGGCAGAAAAAGCCGCCUAGCAACAAGAGCUGGCAGGGAAAAUCGGAGGGCAAGAAGGAGGCGCCAAAGCCACGAAGCCCAUGCUUCAUAUGCAAUGGUCCUCAUUGGGUACGCGACUGUCCGGAGAAGCGGUCGCUUAAUAUUCUUGCUGCCCAACUCAAGAGCAACCCCACAAUGUCCGUGGAGGAACCCCAACUUAGCAUGGGUUCUCUCCAACGCCUCGGCGCCCUCAACCGCCAACAGCCCGCGCUAGUCAAGAAAGGGCUCAUGUAUGUUAGCGCAAAGGUAAACAGCCAGUCCGUUCGCGCGUUGCUAGACACGGGAGCAACACACAAUUUCGUGUCCGUAGAUGAGGCCAAGCGUUUAGGCCUCAAGGCCACCAAGGAAUGAGGCACAAUGAAGGCAGUAAACUCACCCGCCAAGCCAAUUGCGGGAAUUGCACAAGGCGUACACAUCACACUUGGUACGUGGAGCGGAAAGCUUGACUUCUCCAUCCUGCCCAUGGACGACUUCAAGAUGGUCCUGGGCAUGGAAUUCUUCGACCAAGUCUAUGCCUUCCCGCUGCCUACUACGAACUCCCUAAGCAUCCUCGAUGGGAGUAAAGCAUGCAUGGUACCCACGGAGCGAGGCAAGUCCGAGGAGAAGACACUCUCCACCAUGCAAUUCAAAAGGGCUUUCAAGAAGGACCCAAGCUUCUUGGUCUCCAUUCGGGAACUAAAUGAGGAAAGAAAUAGCGGAACGUCGCCAAGCCAAGUCCCUCCGCAAAUAUACAGAGUCCUCAAUGAGUACGAGGAUGUGAUGCCUCCAGAACUUCCGAAGAAGCUCCCACCUCGACGAGAGGUAGAUCAUGCGAUCGAGCUAGAACAAGGCGCGAAGCCAACAGCCUUGGCGCCCUACCGUAUGGCGCCAUCUGAAUUAGAGGAGUUGCGGAGACAACUCAAAGACUUGCUGGACGCAGGCUACAUUCGCCCCUCAAAGGCCCCAUUCAGUGCACCCGUGCUCUUCCAAAAGAAAAAGGAUGGAUCGCUGCGGAUGUGCAUCGACUAUAGAGCGCUCAACAAGAUCACUAUCAAGAACAAGUAUCUGAUUCCCGUGAUUGCGGACUUGUUCGACCAGCUUGGCAAAGCGCGGUACUUCACCAAACUUGACUUGCGCUCCGGGUAUUAUCAAGUGCGCAUCGCCAAGGGAGAUGAACCGAAGACAGCGUGCACAACAAGGUACGGGUCUUUCGAAUUCCUUGUGAUGCCUUUUGGUCUUACUAAUGCACCCGCCACAUUUUGCACGCUCAUGAACAAGGUGCUCCAACCAUUCCUCGACUGCUUCGUGGUCGUGUACUUGGAUGACAUAGUGGUGUAUAGCACCACGCUCGAGGAUCAUGCCCGACAUUUGCGACAAGUCCUCCAAGUACUUCGAGACAACGAGCUCUUCCUCAAACUAGAGAAGUGCUCGUUUGCCCAACAAGAAGUGGAGUUCCUUGGCCAUAAGAUUGCGGGUGGGAAGAUCAUGAUGGAGAAUGACAAAGUAAAGGUCAUCCUCGAUUGGGAGCCUCCCUCGAAAGUACCCGAACUUCGCUCAUUCCUUGGACUGGUGAAUUACUACCGCCGCUUCAUCAAGGGCUAUUCAGCUAAGGCGGCACCCUUGACGAAUAUGCUCAAGAAAAACAGAACAUGGCAUUGGUCCGAAGAGUGCCAACGCGCAUUCGAGGAGUUGAAAAGAACAAUUUCGGAGGAACCCGUCCUCGCUCUUCCGGACCACACAAAGCCCUUCGAAGUGCAAACGGAUGCCUCGGAUUUCGCCAUAGGAGGAGUCCUUAUGCAAGAAGGCCACCCUAUAGCGUUCGAGAGUCGAAAGCUAAAUGAUACAGAACGCCGCUACACGGUGCAAGAAAAGGAGAUGACCGCAAUCAUACAUUGCUUGCGGGUGUGGCGACAUUACUUGCUUGGCUCGUACUUCACGAUUAUGACGGAUAACGUGGCGACAAGCUACUUUCAAACUCAGAAGAAGUUGAGUCCGAAGCAAGCACGGUGGCAAGAUUUCCUUGCGGAAUUCGACUACCGGCUGGAGUACAAACCGGGGAAAGCCAAUGUCGUUGUGAACGCUCUAAGCCGCAAGGCCGAAUUGGCGACACUUAGCAUGAGCCAACCAAAGUCUGACCUUGUCUCACGCAUCAAGGAAGGCCUCCAACAAGAUCCGCUAGCCAAGGAUUUGCUGGAGAAGGUGCUCGAGGGAAAGACAAGACGAUUUUGGCAAGAGGAAGGCAUCCUCCUCACCAAGGGAGAUCGGCUAUUCGUGCCAAGGUGGGGAAACUUGCGGAAGGAAGUAAUCAAGGAGUGCCACGACUCUAAGUGGGCCGGUCACCCAGGAAUCGAGCGCACCACCGCACUAGUUCAAGCCUCGUAUUUUUGGCCGCACAUGAGGGACGACAUCGAGGCAUAUGUGCGAACUUGUCUUGUGUGCCAACAAGACAAAGUGGAUCAUCAACUUCCAGCGGGAUUGUUGGAGCCGUUACCACUAGCAACAAGGCCAUGGGAAAGUGUCUCCAUGGAUUUCAUCACAUCGCUGCCCAAGUCCGAAGGUUGUGGAAGCAUCAUGGUCGUUGUCGACCGAUACAGCAAAUAUGCCACAUUCAUUGCCGCACCAGCCGAUUGCAAAGCGGACGAGGCAGCCCGCCUAUUCGUCAAGCACAUUGUGAAGCUUUGGGGAGUUCCGAAGAGCAUUGUGAGCGACCGAGACCCUCGAUUCACUGGACGCUUUUGGACGGAACUCUUCAAAAUGUUGGGGACCGAUCUCAAGUUCUCGACAAGCUUCCACCCACAAACGGAUGGGCAGACCGAGCGCAUUAAUGGCCUCCUCGAGAUGUACCUGAGGCAUUAUGUGAGCGCUCACCAGCGGGAUUGGGCGAAGCUACUCGACAUUGCCCAAUUUUCUUAUAACUUGCAGCGAAGUGAGGCUACGGGCAAGAGUCCAUUCGAGAUCAUCAUGGGAUUUCAGCCCAUGACCCCCAAUGCCAUAGCCUCGACUUACGGAGGGAAAAGCCCCGCGGCACACAAGCUCGCCCGCGAAUGGCAUGAGGAAGCGGACAUCACGCGAGCCUAUCUCGACAAAGCCGCGAGGAAAAUGAAGAAAUGGGCUGAUACAAGGAGACGGCAUGUUGAGUACAAGGAAGGAGAUCAAGUCAUGAUCAAGCUCCUACCCCAACAAUUCAAGACUUUGCGGAAAGUUCACAAGGGGUUAGUGAGGUGCUACGAGGGAUCCUUCCGAGUUGUUCGACGUGUAGGCAACGUCUCGUAUCAACUCCAACUUCCGCCAAGACUCAAGAUCCAUCCGGUCUUCCAUGUGAGCCUUCUCAAGCCAUAUCAUGAAGACAUGGGAGAACCAAGUCGCGGAGAAUUGAGGCGCGCGCCAACUGCCGUUGUCACCGCGUUCGACAAAGAUGUGGACUACAUCAUUGCGGACCGAACGGUUUCGAGGAGGGGCGUGCCAGCACAUAGCGAGUACUUGGUGAAAUGGAAAAACCUCCCCGAGAGCGAAGCCACUUGGGAACGGGAAGAUGAUUUGUGGCAAUUCGCUGAGCACAUCCAGCACUUCAAGCACGAGAGCGCGACGAGGACGCCGCGAGCUUAGGUGGGGGAGGAUGUUGCGGACCGCCCAAUUCGCUAGCCCAAUUGCCCACAAUUUCGGGCUAGAGAGCCAACACAAGGCCAAGAGUGCUAGCUUGGCCCAAUUCUGGAAGGUUCUAGGCAACUCUAGCACAUGUGAACAUGUAAAUAUUCUAGAAUACUUUAUACAAUUCCAGCACAUGCAAAUAGCUAGGAAAUUGUAAAAUACUCUAGAGUUUGACCAAGUUUGGCAAAGUUAGGCAAAGUUAGGCAAAGUUAGGCAAAGCCUCCCCUAUAAAUAUGGGAUGGCAUUAGGCAUUUGUAUCCAACAAGCUUUGUAAGCAACUCAAGCAUUGUAUUCUCUCUUUGUGCAAUACAAGUUUUCUUCUUUGGCUCAAUUGCUCUCUUCUCUAGUUCGAGAAGCUCUAGGCUUACUUAGCAACAUUCGGCAAAGUUGUCUAAGUGCCGCACGGGUUAGCUGCGCAAAACACUCAUCCCGUGACAUACUGGUAGGUAUGUACGUGUCCUCAACUUUUUUUCGGAGCACAAAAUUCGAGUCCCAUGGAGACUCAAACAUUCCUUUCCCACAUCCCGAGCACGCUAAAUUCAUCAGACUAACAACUGUGACAUAUACAAGAGUGAAAUGUUUAGAGAACGCUAAGUACUAUGAAAGAGAUUAGUUUACGAAAACUGAAGCCAAGGGUUCAUAAAAAAGUGCAAAGAGAAUAAAGGACAACGCUUAUGUAAAGCGACAUAGUUGUAUUCAUAGCACAAUGUCAUAUUCAUACAGAGAUCUAGAAUAUUAUUUACAGCUGGUAAGGGCUAAGAAUUGAUGUAGCUAGAAUACAAAGACGAUAAGGUAUGUUGUGCACUAUUGUUUUAUUCUACGAUCAAUCUUGACCCUUGAUGCUUGGCUCUCAAUCUUGUCCAUUGAUCUUCUUUGAUUUUGGACACUUCAAGACCUUUCAGUAUCAUUCCUUGUUAUUGGUGUCUUCCGUGCUGUAGAAUUCAUAUACAAGCCUUCCCGCCGACUUGCCAAUUAUUUGUUCAUUGGUGCGUUUUGUCAAGCAGUGUGGAUACUUAUACCAAACGCUUUCUGUUUUAACUCCCCCUUUCAAGCUCAACUAUCUGGGAAGACACUAAUAAGCUUGUUUCUCAAGUAUAUGUAUGUGAAAAUUAAAAUUUCAAAAUAAUAUUCGGACUCUACAUUUUCUAAUGAACAUUGGUUUGGCUCAUAAGCUUAUUAUACUUGGGCUUGGUAGGAUUAUCGGUCGGUAGAUGAACAAGUGUUAGAGCUUUCGAAUUUAUGCCAAUUAAAAAAAAAAAAAUCUAUAUAAAUUUUCCACUAGGCUAUUACCACAAUAAACAUUUGGAUGAACUAUUAUUGAAACCUUAUUGAGAAGUAGGACAUGUCGCAUACCAAUGCACUGACAUAUCUUCAAAUAGUGGUAACUCCACACAACAUGGCACAAUAAAUUAAGAGUUAUAUAGAUAAAAUCUUUCACUCUUUGGUAAUCAUCAAUGUCGGCAUGGCAAUGCGUCCGACAAAAUUCAUAAAUCAAAACAAAAAUAGAGAAUCAUAUUUGUUCCAGAUUGUAGUGAUGGUUGUUGAUGCACUCACAAUUUACAAUUUUAUUUAAUAUCUUCACAUUCGCAUUUUAAAAUGCACAAAUGUUUGUGUAUACAUAAUUAGUAAUCGAUUCUCAAGCAUGGACAUUUAAAAGCACUGCUGAAAGACAAAAUUUUAAUUUACUAUUUUUUGUCUUUUAAUUUUCUUUAAGUUUUAAUGAUUCCGCAUUUUGGCGAAGGAAUUGCAACCGCAUUUGGAGCUAGUUUUAAUUUUGUCUUUUAAUUCUUUUACACUUGGCUUUUGUUAUUGAUGUUAACUUCGAUGUGUGUGCGUGUGCGACUGAAUUCAACUUACACGCUAUUGAUGCAGCCACCAAAAAGGGGUGGUCCAUCAUCAAUCAACAAGGUUUAUUAUUAUUUCCAUAUUGAUUUUCUUAAUUAUAAAUAAUACUAAUGCUAUUUCAUAGUUAUAAAUAUAUUAGAAUUAAUCGAAAUCAUUUUUUAGUGUGGCAUGGCUAAAACUACCUUUUUUUUUUAUAAGUAAUUACUACUUUCACAUUAAGAAAAAAUACUCCUAUUUUUAAGGAAAAGUCAAGUACCUGUAGUUGUGAAGACUCGAGCUCACUCCCUUAUGAUAAAUCUUCAUAUUAAUUACGUAAAUAUCCUCUAAAAUUUUAAAUUAACUAUUCAAAAUUCGAUGUUAUACAGGUAUUUCAUUUAUUUGAGUAGGGGUUAGGGGUCAAUUGGAUACAAAUUCAAAAUUAUCCUUACUUGAGAAGGUGAUAAAAAUUGGGGAUUUAGUUUGGAUGUCAUUAGCUACAAAUAUUAAACUCAUACAUUUAAUUCAAAAUUAGAGGGCUGAUAUAUGCGCAUCAUCGUGCACGUUAUAGUGACACUGCGUCACCAUUCCACAACCUCUCCAAUGAAAAAUUGACAUGCUUCUUGUGCGCAUCUAAUCAGAAUCUUGAAAAUUAAUCACAAAAUUGUACUUUUAUUAUAAAAAGAAUAAAGAAACUCCAAGAAAAAAAAAAGACUUACAUAAAUAGAUUGAAAAAUCUAGAUUUCAAGUUGUCUAUAUUAGCUUGAUAUUUUUAUUAAUAGUCAUCCUCCCAAAAAAAUUCCAUCAAAAUAUAUUUUAAUUUUAUGUUAAUUCAUAAACAUGAAAAAAUCAUUUUAGAAUUAAUUAAAACAUAAUUUAUUGUUGCUCAAAAAAGGUAGAACUUAGUGAUCAGAAAAAAAGUAUCUAAAAUAUAUGUUAAAAAAAAUCAUGGUUGGUUAGACUGAUUGAAUUUUUUUUCUUUUUUAAGAAUUAAGACAAUUGGAUGGAUUCAGUAAUAAUAAUACAUAUUUAUUUGGCAAAUGGCAGGGAGGCUUUCGUCUGAUGCAGAUUGAUUAGAGAGAAAAUAUAACAAUUUUAAGCUCGUCAGAUUCGAAGCUGCUUACCUGUCGUGGGGGGAUCACUUCCGGUGCAUGUUGUCGUGUUAAAUUCUCGUUGACUUCACGUUGACUGAAGCAUUAUUGGAAGAAACAAGUUUAUUGAUGUGAGGCCUUUGAGAUUGUAAGUGUUAAAUCUGAGAAGAAUACCCACACACCCAUUAUCCUAUUACUCUUCUAUCACAUGAAGAGAAUUCAACAUUUGAUUCACACGGAAAAAAAAUUUGUGAGGAUUGUGAGGGUUGAUGGAAUAUAAUUUAGAUACAAAGUGUUUACCAGUGCGAUGCUUCGCAAGUGUUCUUGAAUCAAUAUAAACUCACAUUAUUUUCAUAGCGAUUGUUUCAUCUGCACGUGGAUAUAAUCACAUGUCGAGAUUUUUUUCCUUAAAUUAUGAUCUUAUUUAGUAUUGAGGUGUUAUAUCUUUUAAGGUACAAUUAUUGUUGGAAAAAAGUUGCAACUAUCAAAUAAAAUUAAUACUAUGUGCUAAAUAUAAUUGUUAAAUAAUAAUUUUGACAAAAUUAGUGAAGUUAUAUAGAUUUUUUUUCAUCAUCCAAGUAUAAAAUCAAAUCAACUUAACUUCUAAGUUCUAUAUCGGCUACUGUUUAUCAUAUGUUUUAGUUCUGUAACUUUUAAAUUAUAGUUACCCAACCUCAAUUCUAAACAAGACCUAUAACGAUAAAAAAUUUCCUCAUUAAAUUAUAUGUCUUGUGAUUGCUUAUUUAAUUUAUAUUUUUGUUAUUUAUCUUUAUUAAUUAUAAUCAUCUUUUUAUAAAUUAAAAUUGAAGGAAGUUGAUUGAUGUUGUUGACACACACACACGCACGCACACACUCGCAAAGAUAUAUUGGAAGUGCUUACGUCGACUCGAAGUUGUUGGGAAUUAAUGCAUGUAUUGAUUUAUUGGGAGUGUUUAAAUUGAUUUAUUAAUUGAAUAUUGUUUGAUUGCUUCAUAUCCAUUCUAGAAAGUUUAUUUCUUUGUGAAAUUUCAACGAAAUAUGUUUUUUUUUUUAAAUAAGGGUGUUCUAAAUCAUUUUAAAAAAUAUAUGGACUAAUUAGAAUUAAUUAUUAGGUAAUUAACUCAAUUUGUACAGGGUGAAACAACAUUUAUCCUAAUUAUAUCAUGAUAAAUACUUUUUUGAUUAGAAUUAGGAAAUCAUAGGUUUAUUGAAUUGUUUUUUUUUUCCUUUGCGGAAAUGGAUUAGAGAAUUAGAAAACAAUCAUGUUGAUGUCAAAAUCUGAUCUAGUCGGUUAGCGACUUAAUAUCAUAUUACUGCACCAGCAUUAAAUUUAUUUGGUAGAGAAUUGGCUGGUCAAUUGUCAAGAUGUCCUGCAAUCACUAGCGAUUAACCUACGAAUACCUGAAAUCACAAAAGACGGUAAGAGGCACUAGAAAUUUUUUCGGCGUGAACCUUCUGACGCUCAAGUCAGUUUAUAGGUUUACCAUAAUAAAAAUAAAUAAUUUCUAUUUAAAACAAAAAAUAAAGUUCAAAAGCUCAAAAAUAAAACCCAAUCCCAAUAUGAAAAUGAAUUUCUUUUUUUUUUUUAGCUUGGCCGAAUCCUUCUGCCUCCUAAAGAAACAUAAUAGAGAAGCAGGUAGCCAUGUUCCCUAGGUAACGCCCCACUCCCCUCUUUUAUUCCUCCCCCUCUCUUCCGUUUCCUUCUUUUGCUCACUAUCCUUUAUAAUUUUUUAUGCUUGUCUUCCCAAAAUAGCCUUUGAAUACACAAGUAAAUGUCUAGGCUUUGGUGAGGAUAGUUUGGUCAUUGCAUUUUACAAGUAAGAUGAGUGGUGGAGAAAAAUGAGGAGUGCACAUAACUCUUCAGCAAAUCCCACCAACAAUUCCAUUUUCUUAAUUAAUUAAUCUCCUUUUUUAUCCCCAAACAAAUCCUAAUGAUACUCUUAUCAGGUUUAAAACAGUACACAAAUAGUGAAAAGCUAACUAGUCUGUAGAGUAAUUUGCUAAUUGCUAUCUCCUCUCUACGCGCGCUGAAUAAUUUGUUGCAUGCAAACUUUUUAUUUUAUGCAAAUCGUACGUACUGUAACAUUGGAAUUGAUGGAUAAGCAAAAAUACAAUAAUAUUUAUGCCAAUAAAAAUAGUUUUUUUUCCUUUUUAAAUAAACACAACGCGAUGUUGCUCUGCUCUACAUUUUUGCUAUCUCUUUAUUCUUUUUUUUUUUUUGGGCUUCUUAAAGCCUCAAACUUUGACAACCAAAACUUCAUCGACCUAUGAAAAAAUCUGCAGAUUAGUUUUUAUUAUCGGAAUAAUUGUUUGAGAAUACUAAAACAAAAUAUAAAAUAAGAAAAUAGGGGGUUAAAUUAGAGGGGGAAAAAAGCCAUGUUCUAUCGAUUACUAUAGUUUAAGAAAACAAAAUCCAAUUGGGAAUUUUUUUCUUUAAUUUUUGUUUUACUUGAUUGAGAUUUCUCCUUAGUCCUUACAGUUUUAAGUUUGGAUGCCGUAGGGUUAGUAAUUUAGUACUUCCUUUGCAAGCUGAGGGCAAGAAUGAAAAUCUUUAAAGAAAUUAAAAAAGAUUAAAAAAAAGCAUACCAAUAGGUAAUUAUAAAUAACCAUAAAUAAACAUAAACAAAAUAUUUAUGAAGUAAAUUACACAUGCACAUAUUAUUUUUUUGUUUUAUUUCUUACUUGUCUAUUUUAUUUGUCUAUUUUAUUUGCUGCUUGAUAACCCGUAAAUACUAAUCUAGUACUGCUAAUUUCAGACACAAAAUUUUUAACUCUAGGCUGCAGUUUUGCUCAAAAUGAUGACCACUGGCUUCGCACCAUUUAACCGGCAUACAUUUCUACAAAUUGAACAAGGCUAUUGAUUUUCAUUAUUAUUUUUUAUUUAUUUAUAAAUUACUAUUUUAAUUUUCACUUUUUAUUGGGUUGUUUACAAUUUUAUUUUAUAAUUUCAAAUUUGUAUUUUAAAAUGCAGGUACAUUAUGUAUACAUAAUUAUUGAUUUUCAUAUGUGGGUGUUUUGAAAUAUUGCUAAAAGACCAAACUUAAUAAACUAUUUUUCAUCUUUUUUUCCCUUUUUUCCUAAAGGUUGAGUGAUAUCCGCAUUUUAAAUUCAUGUGGAACAAAAGCUAAUGAAUGCACAAAAUUAUUUUAUUUUUUCCGAGAAAAAUGGGUAAGAGAAGAAGAUUUUUCUCUUGAAAAAGAAAAACUAAUACGAUGCAAACAUAGGAAAGAGGUCAGUGUUUUGGAUUAGAAUUUAUUAUUGACCUGAAUUUUAUACUAAACUCUUUUAUAGUACUGCGAUUAAUGAACUCAUGAUUUGCUUUUGCUUUUACUUCAAGUGAAAGAAAGAGGAAACCUUUUGUUUUUUGUUUGAUUCUUGACUAUAGAUGUUACCUAUAUAGAGAGUUGAGGUAGCUGCCUUAAGUGAUGGUGAUAAAAAGAUUAAGCAGCGCACAAAAUCUGACUGUCGUCCAGACCAUCCAGCUGUGAUGGCUCUAGUUUUUUGGUUACAUUAGCUUUAGUGGAAAGGAGGGCCAAUUUAACAAAGACUAGAUUUGGUGGCUUACUAUAAUGCUUAUUCUCAAGGAAUCUAAUGUUAUAAGAUGAUUUAAUGAUCUUCUAUGAUUGUGAGUAGUAUAGUAUAAUUGAAAAGAGCCUGGGCUCCUAUGAUGAAUAUUUAAUAGUAACACAAUAUUGUGAUUGAAAAAAACACUGUUACAAUAAACUCUUCAUUUAUUCAUUGCGGAUAUUGAAUGGCAAACAGAGAAUAAAAUGAAGCAGAGGAAUCUCAUUGCUAGUAAAAUUGACCCUCUUUAAUGUUAUAUGGCACAGGUGUGUGUACAGCAAGAGCAAGUGACUUGCAGUUUUUUUUUGUAAAAUAUACAGGUUAUGACCAUGAUCAUUGUAGUUAGGUUUUGAUGAUUUUAGAUGCUUUUUUAUUUUUUUUAAAUUGUGACACCUUUGAUUUAUGGUAGUUUUGCAGAAGAAAAAAAUAUAUAUAAAAAUUAGGAAGAAUGAGUUAACUAACAAUUGCAAUCAUUACAACAAUGUUGAUGAGUGAUACAUCAUUUGAAAUUUACAUGUCAGUUGCUAAAAUGAUGAAAAAAAACAAUAAACAAUAGCAGUAAUAUUUUUAUGGAAAUUCUUGGUUUUUAUGGAAAUACUCUUGCUGAAAUUCUAAUUUUGACUUUCAACUCUUGGUUUUUAUGGAAAGUAAAAUGACUUGUUUGUUAUAUUCAUACAAUCCACUCUACAUAAUGAUUUCAUUUUUAAUAAAUGCUUGAUGAUCUCCACUGAAAAACUACUUCAAUUCUUUUGUUUUAUUUAACUUUUUGGUUGUUGAAAAUAGCCUUAAUUUUCAAAUAAUUGGAGAAAGAGUAAAGAACAUUUAACAAAUUUAUGUGCCAAAAAUAAAGGAGAAAUUGAAGAGAAAGGGUGCUUGCAGAAGUGGGUGCAAAGAUAAAUCAGUCUAUAAGAAUUAUUGUGGUUAUUAAUUUUUUGGCAAUAUAAAAAUUCUUCAGCAAAUAAAAAUUGAUUUUUUUCCGAUUUACUAAAAAAUUAAUUAAAAAAUUCGGCCACAGCAUUUUUUAUGGGUGCAUAUACCCUCCCUUUAAAAAAAAAUAAUAAUUAAUGCUUAAUAUAGUAUUAAAUACCAAAAUAUCAAUAUUUGGCUACUCAAAUUUAUAUCAUUAGGUCCUUCAAAUUUAAAAUUGAAGAUACAAAAGGAAAUAUAUAUAAAUUUCAUUCUCAUGGAAAGGAUUCUCUUAUAAUCUUAUAAUAUUUGAGUUUUGAAAUUUUUUGAAACAAAUGUAAUUUUAUUUGUGUACAAUCAAUAUUUACUUAUUUAUUAUAUUUUAAUUUGUUAACUAUCAAUCAUUUAAGUAUAUUUGGUCAGAAAAAUUAUAUCAAGAGAGAAUCCUAAUUUCACGCAAACACAAAUACAAGAUAAAUAUGUCAAUUUCUAUACUAUUCACUUUCCUGUAGAAUCAAUUAUCUAAAAUGCAAGUUUGUGGCUACAGAAAACUAAUGCAUCAUUUUCUUCUUGAUUUGAUGAGAUGACGCCAUUACAAAAAAAUAAGUACCUUAAUUGACGGGCACUGAGUGAUGUGAAUACUACCAGCCAGUUCAUCUCUUCCAGUCUUGCUUAAUCACAAUCACAAACACCACGAGAUUGACAUUUGCAUUAUAUAUAUCUUCAGCAAUCGAAACACCUUGCAUUACCAAAUUAACCGGUAACAAACAAAGCAAUCUUUCAUGGAGAGAAACUUUAGUCUCAGUAUGAUCACUGUGUCAUUAACCCACUUCCUGCUUCUUUGCUUGGUUGUUGCAGCAGCAGCAGCCGCAAGCAACAAUAUUACCACAGACCAACAAGCUCUUCUUGCCCUGAAAGAUCAUAUAACUUAUGAUCCAACCAACCUUUUUGCCCAUAAUUGGACCUCGAAUACCUCUGUUUGUACCUGGAUUGGCAUCACUUGUGAUGUCAAUAGCCAUAGAGUCACAGCCUUAGAUAUUUCUCAAUUCAAUCUACAAGGCACCAUCCCUCCUCAACUUGGAAACCUCUCUUCACUUACAACGCUUAAUCUUAGUCAUAACAAGCUUUCUGGAGACGUUCCAUCCUCCAUCUACACCAUGCAUUCGCUAAAAUUUCUUGACUUCACUGAUAACCAGCUCUCUGGUUCAGUGUCUUCCUUCGUCUUCAGCAUGUCUUCAAUAUUAGAAAUUCUUUUGACCAAUAACAGAUUUUCUGGUGAGCUUCCGAAAAAUAUUUGCAACUAUCUUCCUUAUUUGAAAGCCCUUUUCUUAAACAAAAACAUGUUUCAUGGCAAAAUUCCUUCUGCUUUAUCAAAGUGCAAACAACUGCAACAAUUAAAUUUGCAGUUCAAUAAUUUAUCCGGUGCAAUACCGAAAGAAAUCGGCAACUUGACUAUGCUCAAAGGCAUAUAUCUCGAAUACAACAAACUCCACGGUAUGUUCAUAAUACUAUGUAAAUGUUUUAAUUUCUCACUUGUUAUUUUCUUGAAUACUUUAGACAAGAUCUCGUAAGGGAGAUAUUUUUGGAUCUGUGUUAAUUUGCCAGGUGAGAUACCCCACGAAAUCGCUAAUCUUCGAAAUCUAGAGGAUUUAUUGCUUGGAAUGAACAACCUAGUUGGUGUGUUACCAGCUCCAAUCUUCAACAUGUCAACACUGAAAUUAUUUGACCUCAUAAAUAACUCUCUCUCCGGAAGUCUUCCAUCAAGAAUAGACCUUUCACUUCCAACUGUCGAGUUUUUUGGCUUGGCACUGAAUAGAUUUUCUGGAACCAUUCCUAGUUCCAUCACCAAUGCUUCUAAGCUCACCGUUCUAGCGUUGGGAGAGAACACAUUUUCGGGCUUCAUUCCAAACACAAUUGGUAAUUUAAAAAACCUUGAGUGGCUCAGCUUGGAGAAUAAUUACUUGAAAUCUUCAACCUCAAAAUUGAGCUUUCUUUCCUCUUUGGCAAAUUGCAAGAAAUUAAGAUUCUUAAACUUAGCAGGCAAUCCACUUGACGGCUUCCUUCCAAGUUCAAUAGGUAAUCUUUCUGUGUCUUUGGAAACACUUUUCAUCGGCAAUUGCAGUAUUAGUGGCAACAUUCCUCAAGCAAUUAGCAAUUUAAGCAACUUGUUGACCUUAGCAUUAGAAUUCAAUAAAUUGACUGGACCAAUUCCAAUUACAUUUGGCCGACUACAGAAACUCCAAGGCUUAGAUCUUGCAUUCAAUAAGUUGGUAGGUUCAUUCCCAGAUGAGCUUUGCCAUCUAGCAAGGCUGGAUCAAUUGUACUUAUUUGGCAAUAAGCUUUCAGGAUCUAUACCUUCAUGCCUAAGUAAUCUCACUUCUCUAAGAUCUCUCUACUUAGGGUCUAAUAGGUUUACUUCUGUUAUUCCCUCAACUUUCUGGAGCCUAAAAUACAUCUUGUUCUUUGACUUUUCAUCAAAUUUCUUGGUUGGUACUCUUUCUUUCGACAUAGGUAAUUUGAAGGUGCUUCUAGGAAUAAAUUUAUCAGAAAAUAACUUAUCGGGUGAUAUGCCAGCCACAAUUGGAGGACUGAAAGAUCUUCAAUUUAUGGACCUAGCAUAUAAUAGAUUGGAAGGCCCAAUUCCUGAAUCAUUUGGUGACUUGACAAGUUUGGAGGUUUUGAAUUUGUCAAAAAAUAAAAUCUCUGGGUCUAUUCCAACAUCCAUAGAGAAACUCAUUUACCUUCGAGAGUUAAAUCUCUCUUUCAAUAAACUUGAAGGUGAGAUUCCUAGUGGAGGAAUUUUUACCAACUUCACAGCUGAGUCAUUUAUGGGAAAUGAGUUAUUGUGUGGUUUACCAAAUCUUCAAGUCCAACCAUGCAAACUUAGCAAGCCUAGGACAGAACAUAAAUCAAGGAAAAAGAUACUUCUCAUUGUGAUUGUUUUGCCAUUGAAGAUUGCUCUAACGAUAGCAAUCACUCUAGCUCUCAAAUCUAAGCUGAUCGAAUGUAGAAAAAGAAGCACAGAGUUAUCAAAUGAUAGUAUCUUGUCAUCACAAGCAACACUAAGAAGAUUUUCAUACUUAGAACUUUUACAAGCAACAGAUAAUUUUGCUGAAAACAACAUAAUUGGCAGAGGAGGUUUUGGUUUCGUUUAUGGAGCAAGACUUGAAGAUGGGAUGAAGAUUGCAAUAAAAGUGUUCACCAGCAAUGUGCAAGCGCAUUGAAGAGUUUUGAGGCUGAAUGUGAAGUGUUAAAAAAUAUUCGCCAUCGAAACCUUAUCAAAGUUAUCAGCAGUUGCUCGAACGAUAACUUCAAAGCAUUAGUCCUAGAAUACAUGUCCAACGGGAGCUUGGAGGAUUGGCUGCAUUCUAGCAAUUAUGUGCUGAAUAUAUUUCAGAGGUUGAACAUAAUGAUUGACGUUGCAUCAGCUUUAGAAUAUCUCCACUUCGAUCAUUCAACUGCUAUUAUUCAUUGUGACUUAAAGCCUAGUAAUGUAUUGUUGGACGAAAAUAUGGUUGCUCAUUUGAGUGAUUUUGGCAUAGCAAAGCUUUUAAGUGGAGAGGAUGAGUCUACGAUGCGAACAAAAACCCUUGCCACUAUAGGUUAUAUGGCACCAGGUUUGCUUCAAACAACUUUUUUUUUAGUUCAUUUUAAAUUUUCUAAAUCAUUGAUUUUUACGAUCCUCAUAUCAAAUUGUUACUGAUUAUUUAUCUAAUUGUGAAAUUAAUUUGAUUCAUAGAGUACGGCAUAGAAGGAGAAGUAUCUACAAAAAGUGAUGUUUACAGCUAUGGGAUUAUGUUGAUGGAAACUUUUACCAAGAAAAAACCCACAGAUGAAAUUUUUGUUGGAGAAUUGAGCUUAAAGCGUUGGGUUAAUGACUUGCUUCCUACUUCAUUAGAGGAAGUUGUGGACAAAACUCUGCUAAGUGGAGAGGAAAAACAUUCUUUAGGAAAGGAGCAAUGUCUGUUGUCUAUCUUUAGUUUGGCUCUGGAGUGUACAAUGGAAUCACCGGAAAAGAGGAUUAAUGCAAAAGAUAUUGUUACCGGAUUACUCAAGAUAAAAGCCGCAUUGAGUAAAAGGAUAGGAAAUUUAAGUUAAUUUCGUUUGCUUUCAUUGAUAGUUAAUCUGAAUUCAUGUAAUAAGUGUAGGAAUCUUAUAUCUUUUCCUUUCAUAUAUUUUUUUUCCUUGAGAAAACUGUUGUAGUCAUCUUGUUUCCGUGGACAGAGUUGAUUUAGUUUUUCCAUGAAAUGCUACUGAUGACAUUUGUUUUAUACUUUCUCUUUUUUUGCAUGUGUUUUGGCUGCAGGCUAAGAAGUCUAACUACACUAAAAGAAUAUGAUUUAAUUUAUUAAACAAAACUUCAAGUUCAAGAAAAGUAUUUCACUGCCCCUAAUGCUUUGGACACCUACUGGUAGGUUUGUACGUGUCCUCAACUUUUUUUUGGAGCACAAAAUUCGAGUCCCAUGGAGUCUCAAACAUUCCUUUCCCACAUCCCGAGCACGCUGAAUUUAUCAGACUGACUGUUGUGCGCGGAAUGCGGAAUCAAGCACGCCAAAUAAUUACAGAAAAAUAAAUGACACAAGAAUUUACGUGGUUCGGUAAUUAAACCUACAUCCACGGAGGUAAAAAAAAAAAUUGUUUAUUUAACAAUUAAUAGAGUACAAAUAUUUGAGUAACGAAUCUCACUUCCCAAAAACCCAAAUAUACCCAGUACUCUCACACUCUGCAGGAAAGAUAAAUUCCCCAGACAAACUUCUCUCACUUCUCUCAAAAGCUUAGAAACUUAUAAGCUUAACAAUUUUAGGAUACCAAAGAAUGGAAGAAGUGCCAUCUAUUUAUAGGGAAAAUAAUGGCACUAUUGAACCAACCCUUUUACUAUUCCACCUAACCUAAGCAAAUAGUCAAUGGUGUCCAUUUGGCAAAUUUGACAAAUUUGCCAACUUUCCAUUUUUUCUUCAAAUGUUUGGUAGCUCUUUGAAAAAUUGCCACAUACAUGACUUUUCAACACUGACAACCGGGACAUAUACAAGAGUGAAAUGUUCAGAGCACGCUAAGUUCCAGUGAAAGAGAUUAAUUUACGGAAACUAAAGCCAAGAGAAUAAAGGACAACACUUAUGUGAAGCGACAUAAUUGUAUUGAUAGCACAAUGUCAAAUUCAUACAGAGAUCUAGUAUACUAUUUACAGCCGGUAAGGGCUAAGAAUUGAUGUAGCUAUAAUACAAAUACGAUAAGGUAUGUUGUGCGCUAUUGUUUUUAUUCUCCAAUCAAUCUUGACCCUUGAUGCUUGGUUCUCAAUCUUGUCCAUUGAUCUUCUCUGAUUUUGGAGACUUCAAGACCUUUCAGUAUCAUUCCUUGUUAUUGGUGUCUUCCGUGCUGUAGAAUUCAUAUACAAGUUUUCCCGCCGACUUGCCAAGUAUUCGUUCAUUGGUGCAUUUUUAUCAAACAGCUGGGCUACUUAUGCCAGACACCGCCUGGUUUAACUCCCCCUCUCUAGCUCAACUAUCUGGGAAGACAAUUAAUUGAGCUUGUUUCACAAGUAUAUGAAUCUGAAAGUUAAAUUUUAAAAAUUAUAUUCGGACUCUACAUUUUGUAAUGAACAUUGGUUUGACUUGUUAUACAUUUAUGCGUACAUAAUUAAUAACCGAUUCUCAAGUGCGGACAUUCAAGAGCACUGCUUAAAGACCAAAUAUUUUGAUUUACUACUUUUUGUCUUUCAAUUUUCUUUUAAGUUCUGAUGACGUCCGCAUUUUAAAAUCCUGUGGAACAAAGGCCUGAGGUGCAUAUAAAAUUCUUUUAUUUUUCAGAGGAAAAUGGGUGAGAGAAGAAGAUUUGGCAAAAGAAUUGCAACGGCAUUUGAAACUAGUCUUCGUCUUUUAAUUCUUUUAUAUUUGUUUUUGUUAUUGAUGUUAGCUUGGAUGUGUGCGCGUGUGACUGAAUUCAACUUAUAUUUGUUUUUGUUAUUAUUAUUAAUUUUAUUUGUUUUUGUUAAAUUGGACCACCCCAUUAUCAAAUCAACACGGUUUAAUUAUUAUUAAUUCUACACUUUUUUUACGAACAAAUAUAAAAUAAAAGGACAUUUACAUCCCAAAUUUUAGUGCAAUAGUCAUCAACAUCCCUAAAUUUUUAAAAAGAGACAUCAAAAUCAUUUUUUGAUCUUAAUACUCUUAUACGGUACCUCUAUUAUUCCCAAAAAUUGACUCUAAUGUUUUAUAAUAAAUAAAAAUAAAACUUUAAAAUAAAUGUAAUUACAUAUACAUUUUAAAAUAAUUUCAAUAUUUAAAAAAUAUUUUUAACAUUUUACAAUCUAUUAUAUUUUAUUAUAUUAAAGUAAAUUUUAUUAUAAAUAGAAUCAUAUUAUUAAAAUAAAUGCAUUAAAAUUUAAAUUAUUUUGAAUAUCAUGUAAGAUAAUAAUUUUAACAUUACUAGUGUGUCAGAUUUUUUUUUUUAAUUGUAGAAUGUAUUUAGCGCAAAUAUUUAUUUAAAAUCUCUACAAUAAAUAAAAGAUUUAAAUAAAUAUAAUAAUUUACAUAUCUAAAUUUAUUAAAAUAUUUUAAUAUUGUUAGUCUACUGCAUAGAUCACAAUAUUUAUAUAACAUUUGUAUUUAUUAAAAACUUUAAAAUCAAUUCUUUUGAGAAUAAUAGAGGUAAAGAGUAUAAUGGUAAUAAAGGGGACUUUGUACCCCUUUCUAAAAACUUGAGGAUGUUAGUGACCAUUUCUCCAAACCUUCAGUGUGUUGAUGUAAUUGUCAAGAAAUACAGUAUCUAAACUUUGAAGUAACAAGGAUCACCUUUUAUGAAAUCAUAUUGCUUUUCAUGAUAGACUGUUACCAUUUUUCUACGAUAGAUUCAGUAAAAAAUUGAUUAAGAUGUCUACUCAUGGAGAGUGAAAUUUAUGUUCAAAACUAAUUUCAACAGGCAUGCACCAUCGAACGUGUUUCUCAUGGAAAAGUUGCUUGGAUUUUAGGGACUUUAUGUUCAAAUAUUCAACACGGCAUGCACCACGCGAUUGAACAUGCAAAAGUAGGGGUCUAUUUUCAUUUUCAGCAUUAUAGAAAUCUUAAUUUUGUUCAUUAUUUAUUUUGAUCAGCACUCUUGAAUCUCCAUGUAUUGCCAAUCACUAAGAAACAACAUAUUCUUAUUAAUUAUAUCCUCUAAUGGAGAGAACUCAUUGUCUCAGUAAGAUCACUGUGUCAUUAACCCACAGCAUGCUGAUUUGCUUGGUUGCUGCAGCAAGCAAAAAUAUUACCACAGAUCAAAAAGCUCUUCUUGCCCCAAAAGAUCACAUAACUUAUGCUCCAACUAAUCUUUUGACCCAAAAUUGGACCUCAAAUACCUCUGUUUGUACGGGGAUUAGCAUCACUUGCGAUGUCAAUAGCCAUGAAGUUGCAGCCUUGGAUAUUUCUCAAUUCAAUCUACAAGGCACCAUUAUUCCAAACACAACUGGUAAUUUAAGAAACCUUAAGUGGCUCGGCUUGGCUUAUAAACUACUUGACAUCUUCAACUUCAAAAUUGAGCUUUCUUUCCUCUUUGGCAAGUUGCAAAAAAUUAAGAAUCUUAGGCUUACUGGAAAUCCACUUGACCGUAUCCUUUCAGGUUCAAUAGGUAAUCUUUCUAUGUCUUAGGAAAGGUUUCACAUCGCCAAUUGCAGCAUUAGUGGCAGAAUUCCUCAAGUAAUCAGCAAUUUAAGCAACUUGUUGGCUGGUGUGCAAAAUUUUAAUAUACUUGCAAGCGCAUGAAUCUAGAAAUAGAAUAAUAGUAACGAGGUCAAACCCACAUGGAUCGUUAUAAACUGACAAAAGAAUAGCUGCUGGUCUAGAGGUGGCUUACUACAUUCAUACAAGAUCGUUUCUUGUUCUCUAAGAUAUGCAUUAUACUAAUAAUGCUAUACAAACUUAUCCAAAGGUCUAUUAAUUAAUUCAUUAAUCCAACGGCUUGUUAGGUUGUCCUUUCAUCCAUACAGCUGCAUGCUUGUCUUCUUAUAUACUGAUCUUAUCCUCUAGAUCUGUUCAGGCUGAGUGAUCUCUCACAUUUGCCAUAUCAGAAGAUUACAUGCCAGUAAUGUCAUGUGAUGACCUGUUGCUUGGUGAUGUCGAAUGCCUGGCCUUUACUUCUCUGAGCAAAUUGAUCAAACAAUUUGUUCAUUUUAUCGAACACCUUCACCAACCAACAUUUUAUUUACUUUUGAUGGUUUUUAAGUGCAUUUAAUGAUUAUUUUUGCUCCAACUUCAGAUAAACCAAACGCUAGUAUAUUAGAAGAAGAAGUUCACUGGCAGCUAACCAGGUCAAAAUAGCGACUCUAUAUAAAAAAUAUAUAUAAAAAAUAAAUAAAUAAAAUGGGACUUUAUUUAAUUAAUUGUUGGUCUAAAGCUGUUGGUAUCCGUUGGCCACGUUUCUGAAGAGUCAUCUCAAAUCGAAAUUUUUAACGAACAAAGAACUUUGCUUUUUUCCAUUGUUCACAUUGCUGCUGGCUGCCACCCGUGAGAUAAAAGUGCUACAAGCUUUCCGUCGACAUUCCCCCCUCCAUUUUCACCAUGCAUAAGCUGAAAUUUCUUGAUUUCAGUGAUAAUCAGCUCUCUGGUUCUUUGUCCUCCGUCACCUUCAACUUGUCUUCAGUAUUAGAUAUUCGUUUGGAUAGUGACAAACUCUCUGGUGAACUCCCAGUAAAUAUUUGCAAUUAUCUUCACUAUUUAAAAGUCCUUUUUUUGGCCAAAAACAUGUUUCACGGUCAAAUACCACUGGCUUUAUCCAAGUGCAAACGGCUACAACUGUUAAAUUUGGGGUUCAAAAAAUUAUCAGGAGCCAUACCGAAAGAAAUCAGCAACUUGACUAUACUUCGAAAGAUAUCUCUCAGAAAUAAUAAACUUCGCGGUAUAAAUGUUUAUAAUAUAUACUUUGUAAAUGCUCUUAUUAAUCAUUCUUGAACUUUCUUAGAUACUUUUGUCUAAAUAAGAUUUUGCAAAAGAGUUUUUUGCAUCUCUGUUAAUUUUGCAGGCGAGAUACCUCACGAAAUUGGGUAUCUUCCAAAUCUAGAGAAUUUGGUGCUUGGAUUCAACAACCUAGUAGGUGUUGUACCUGCUGCAAUCUUCAACAUGUCAACAGUGAAAAAAAUUUACCUAUUAGAUAACUCUCUCUUGGGAAGUUUUUCAUUAGGAAUAGACCUUUCACUUCCUAACGUUGAGAGACUGAACCCGGGGCUGAACAGAUUUUCUGGAACCAUUCCUAGUUUCAUCACCAACGCAUCUAAACUUGUAUAUCUAGAUAUGGGAACAAACUCUUUUUCGGGCAUUAUUCCGAACACAAUUGGUAAUAAUCUAAGAAACGUUGACUGGCUCGACUUAACAUACAAUCGCUUGACAUCAUUAACUCUAGAAUUGAGCUUUCUUUCCUCUUUGACAAUUGCAAGAAAUUAAGAUUCUUAGGCUUAACAGGCAAUCCGCUUGACGGUGUCCUUCCAACUUCAAUAGGUAAUCUUUCUAUGUCUUUGGAAAACAUUUACAUCUCAAAUUGUAAUAUUGGUGGCAGCAUUCCUCAACUAAUCAGCAAUUUAAGCAAUUUGUUGCUCUUAGAUUUAGAAGGCAAUAAGUUGACUGGAUCAAUUCCAGUCACAUUCAGCCGGUUGCAGAAACUCCAGGGUUUAUAUCUUCCAUUUAACAAGUUAGCAGGAUCAAUCCCAGACCAGCUUUGCCAUUUAGCUAGACUGAAUACAUUAGGUUUGGCUGGUAAUAAGUUUUCUGGAUCAAUCCCUUCAUGUUUAGGUAAUCUCACUUCUCUAAGGUCUCCCGACUUAGGGUCCAAUAGGCUUACAUCAGUCUUGCCCUCAACUUUUUGGAAUCUAAAAGACAUCUUGUUCUUUGACCUUUCAUCAAAUUCUUUGGAUGGUCCUCUUUCUUUAGACAUAGGAAAUUUAAGGGUUGUGAUAGGAAUAAAUUUAUCACGAAAUAACUUUUCAGGUGAUAUCCCAAGUACAAUUGGAGAUCUAAAAGACUUACAGAAUAUCUCCUUAGCAUGUAAUGGAUUGGAAGGUCUAAUUCCUGAAUCAUUUGGUUACUUGACAGGUUUGGAAAUUUUAGAUUUGUCAAAUAACAAAAUCUUUGAGUUUAUUCCGAUAUCUUUUUAAAAACUCUUGUACCUCAAAGAGCUAAAUUUGUCUUUUAACAAACUAGAAGGAGAGAUUCCUAGGGGAGGACCUUUUGCAAAUUUCACAGCUAAGUCAUUCAUGGGAAAUGAGAAAUUGUGUGGUUUACCAAAUCUCCAAUUCCCAAAAUGCAAGCGUCGGACGCGUCGAAAAUCAAAGAAAAAGAUGCUUCUACUUGUGAUUGUCUUGCCAUUGAGUACUGCUCUAAUAAUCGCAGUCCCUCUAGCUCUAAAAUAUAAAUCGAUAAGAGGUGGAAAGAGUAGUACUAGGUUGUUAAAUGAUGGUAUCUUGCAUCACAAGAAACACUAAGAAGAUUUUCAUACCAAGAUCUUUUUCGUGCAACAGAAAAAUUUAGUAAAGAAAAUCUAAUUGGCGUAGGAAGUUUUGGUUCUGUUUAUCGAGGAAGAAUUCAUGAUGGAAUUGAGGUUGCAAUAAAAGUGUUUCACCAGAAUUGUGCAAUGGCAUUGAAGAGUUUUGAGGCUGAAUGUGAAGUGAUGAAAAAUAUUCGUCAUCGAAAUCAUGUCAAAAGAAUCAGUAGUUGUUCGAACGAAGAUUUCAAAGCAUUAGUUCUAUAAUAUAUGCCCAAUAGGAGCUUGGAGGAUUGCCUGCAUUCUACCAAUUGUUCGUUAAAUAUUUUUGACAAGUUGAACAUAAUGAUAGAUGUUGCAUCGGCUUUGGAAUAUCUCCACUUCAGUCAUUCAACUCCUGUCAUUCAUUGCGACUUAAAGCCCAAAAAUGUAUUGUUAGAUAAAAAUAUGGUUGCUCAUUUCAGUGAUUUUGGAAUUGGAAGGCUCUUAACUGGAGAUCGAUCAAUGAUACAAACAGAAACACUUGUCACAAUUGGUUAUAUGGCACCAGGUUUGCUCUGAAACAAUUUUUGUUUUUUUUUUUUGGGUUUUCAUUCAGACUUUCCAAAUUAUUAUUUUUCCAUGAUCCUUCUAUCCUAAUGUUAUUGAUUAUUUAUCUAAUGAUAAAAUCAAUUUGGUUGAUAUAAUAUGGCAUAGAAGGACGAGUAUCUACAAGAAGUGAUGUUUAUAGUUAUGGAAUUAUGUUAAUAGAAACAUUUACUAGGAAGAAACCCACAGAUGAAAUGUUUACUACAGAAUUGAGCUUAAAACUUUGGGUUAACAACUUGCUACCUGCUUCAUUGAUGGAAGUUGUGGACAAAACUCUUUAAGUAGGGAAGAAGAAGAUUUUGCUGCGAUGGAGCAAUGUGUGUUAUCAAUCUGAGUUUAGCCAUGGAGUACGUGAUGGAAAUGCCAGAAAAAAGGAUCGAUCCAAUAGAUAUUGUAACUAAACUAUUGAAAAUAAGAGACAUAUUGAGUAAAAGGUUAGCAAAUUUAGGUUAAUCUCAUUUCUUGGCAUUGAUACUUGAAUCAAUAUACACUUAAUUUGAAUCAAUGUAUGAGUGUAAGAAUAUGAUAUAUUUUCCUUUAAUUUUUUUUCCUGAGAGAAAUAUCAUAGCUGUCUUGUUUCAAAUUAAUUUUAUACUUUUUUUUCUUUUUCUAAGAUCAUGCCAAAGAGUUGUAGGAAGAUCAGCCACAAAUUCAAAGCCGGCUAAGGCAUUUGAAGAUGGAGAGAUUGGUAGUUUUUUUCCCAUUAAAAUUAAUAUAUAUCACUUAUCCCAACUAUUUUCAUAAUGCCUAAUAAGCUCUUGGCACCAUAACUUUACCAUAUAACCCUUAUUUUGAAAUACACUUUUAUUCAUAUUAAUAUUAAUUAAAUAAAUCAUAUGAGUUGAAAUUAAAAAUUAAAAAAUUAAAUACCAAAAAAAAGAAAUAUACGUUUUAGUGUGCUAAAAAAUUAAUAUUAAAAUAUUUUUCUUAUAUAUAUAUAUAUAUUAUUCUCAAAAUAAUGUAUCAAGCAAAUGACUUUUUUCUCUUCUUUUUCUUUAACUUUUUUUGUGCUAGUAGAGUUUUUAGAUAUUAUAAAAACAAUAAAAGAAUAAGUGAUAUAUAUUAAUUUCAGUUGAAAAUAACCAACAAUCCCCCUUUAAUUACGUGUCACACCCAACUUAUAAAUUCUAUCAAUCAUGUAAUUAUGGUUGGUUUCUCUUUUUCUUUUUUUUGCAUGUGUUUAGGUAGAAUAGUGGUUUGGUUGCACUCUAAGAAGUCAAACUACACUAAAAGAAUAUGAUUUAAUUUAUUAAACAUAACUUCAAGUUCAAGAAAAGUAUCUUAUUGCCCCCAAUGCUUUGGACACCUAUUGGUAGGUCUGUACGUGUCCUCAACUUUUUUUUGGAGCACAAAAUUCGAGUCCCAUGGAGACUCAAACAUUCCUUUCCUUCAUCCCGAGGGCGCCUUCUGUCCUCUGUUUCUGUUUCCACACACAAAUAGCAAAAAGAAAUUAGAAUGACAACUGGGACAUAUAUAAGAGUGAAAUAAUUAAAAAAUUAUGCUUUUUUGUUUGUCGUGUUAAAAUCGUAAGUACCGAUGUACUGUGAAAGAGAUUAAUUUACAGAAACUGAAGCCAAGGGUUCAAAAAAAAAGUGCAAAGAGAAUAAUUGUAUUGGUAGCACAAUGUCAUAUUCAUACAGAGAUCAAGUAUAUUAUUUACGGCUGGUAAGGACUAAGAAUUGAUGUAGCUAGAAUGCAAAGAUGAUAAGGUAUGUUGUGCACUAUUGUUUUAUUCUACAAUCAAUCUUGACCCUUGAUGCUUGGCUCUUAAUCUUGUCCAUUGAUCUGGUCAACUAUCUGGGAAGACAAUUAAUUGAGCUUGUUUCACAAUUAUAUGAAUCUGAAAGUUAAAUUUUAAAAAUUACAUUCGGACUCUACGUUUUCUAAUGAACAUUGGUUUGGCUUAUAAGCUUAUUAUGCUUAGGCUUAGGCUUGGUAAGAUUAUCGGUCGGUAGAUGAACAAGUUUUAGAGCUUUCGAAUUCAUGCCAAUUAAUUUUCAACUAGGCUAUUACCACAAUAAACAUUUAGAUGAACUAUUAUUGAAAUUUUAUUGAGAAGUGGAACAUGUCGCAUACCAAUGCACGGACAUAUCUUCAAAUAGUGGUAACUCCACACAACAUGGCACAACAAAUUAAGAGUUAUAUAGAUAAAAUCUUUCUACAAUUACAAUAGAUUGAAUUUAGUAAGAAAUUGAUUGUUAUCAUUUUUCUCAUGGAAAAGUUGUUUGGAUUACAAUAGAUUGAAUUUAUGUUCAAAUAUUCAACACGGCAUGCACCACGCGACUGAACUUGCAGAAGGAGAGGUCCAUUUUCAUUUUCAGCAUCACAGAAAUCUAAAUUUGUUCAUUAUAUAUUCUGAUCAGCACUUGAACAUCCAUGCAUACUCCUAUUAAUUAUAUCCUCUAAUGGAGAGAACUCAUUGCCUCAGUAUGAUCACUGUGUCAUCAACCCACUGCCCGCUUCUUUGCUUGGUUGUUGCAGCAAGCAACAAUAUUACCACAGAUCAACAAUAGUUUGUCCAUUUGUUUCAGUGAGGUCGUCAUUAAAAAUUAAUUUUCAUAUUGAUUUUCUUAAUUAUAAAUAAUACUAAUGAUAUUUCAUAGUUAUAAAUAUAUUAGAAUUAAUCAAAAUCAUUUUUUAGUGCGGCAUGGCUAAAACUACCUUCUUCUUUUUUUUUUAUAAGUAAUUACUACUUUAAGGAAAAUACUCCUAUUUUCAGGGAAAAGUCAAGUACCUGUAGUUGUGAAGACUCGAGCUCACCCUCUUAUGAUAAAUCUUCAUAUCAAUUACAUAAAUAUCCUCUAAGUUUUUAGUUAACUAUUCAAAAUUCGAUGUUAUACGGGUAUUUCAUUUAUUUGAGUAGGGGUUAGGGGUCAAUUGGAUACAAAUUCAAAAUUAUCCUUACUUGAGAAGGUGAUAAAAAUUGGGGAUUUAGUUUGGGUGUCAUUAGCUACAAAUAUUAAACUCAUACAUCUAAUUCAAAAUUGCAUCCAGGUUCAUUGCAGCUAAGGCUUGUGGAAUUUCCUCAGUAAGAUGUGAGUAGUCAUACCUACGUCGACAUUCAAUGGCUGUAUGUUUCGGUAAAUGACAAAUUUGGCAUAUGACAGUUUCUUCAUUGACUUCCUCAGCUUGUUGUUUGGAUUGAUUCUGAAUUUUGUGCCAAGGCUGUCCAGAAUUAUUUUGUCGAGGUUGCUGCCACUGUUGUCCCGAAUUUCCUUGCCAUGAUUGUUGCCCUUGUUGACUUGGAUUAUUGUUUGAUUUUUGCCAUGGCUGACUUGCAUUAUUAUUCCAACUUUUUCCACCAUUGUAGUUGAUUUUUUGACCACUUGAAUCAGCCAAAUUUUGUCCUCCUGCUGCUGUAAAACCACGACCUUUUGAGUUAAAGAAACCUCCAUUUCCACGACCUUUUCCCUUGCCUCGUUGGCUAAAAAAGGCUUGAGCCAGAUUGAUUGUAUUCUUCUUUUCUUCUUCAAAAUUAAUAAGAGUUUGUUCAUGAUUUUCGAGGGCCAUGACAAACUGCUUAAAUGAGGGAUAAGGUGGUUUUGAAAGUUGAGCAAGUUUGAAGUCUUGACUUUAUCGAAGUCAUUCACUGGUUUAUUUAUUGCAGCCAAACAAUCACAGAUAUGCUUGUAUUUGCGCACAUACUCUUCAACUGAUAGAGAUCCCUUUUUAAACCGAGAGAAUUACUAUAUUUACACAAUUAACCUUGGCUAGAAUUAAUUGUCCAGAUUGGAUGAUAACUAGAGAAUAGAAAUGAAGAAAAGGAAGCACACAACACCGAGAAGAGUAAUAAUUAAUGCUGCCAUUGACGAAAUGUUUUAUAUUACUCUUCUUUCUUGGUAUUUAUUUAUUUACAAUUUUUAAUGUAAAUAUACAGUUGUUGGGCUAAUAUCUUAUUUACUUUUGAAUGUAUUAGAUGCCUUUUCUUUUUUCUUGGUUCAUAAUAAUUUUGUAGAAAUUCCUCAAGUUUCCCUAAAUGAUAGCACAUAUUCAUAAUUGGAUUGAUUGAGUAAUAAUAAAAUAUAUUUAUUUGGCAAACGGCAGUUAGGCUUUCUUCUGAUGCAGAUUAAUUAGAGAGAAUAUAUAACAAUUUUAAGCUCGUCAGAUUCGGAACCUGCUUAUCUGUCGUGUGGGGAUCACUUCUGUGUCUUAUUUUUCUAGAAAAAUCUGGACCAUUGGAUUUCCCAUUAUUCAAUAGAUAAAUGUUUGAUCUUGAUUCUUGAUUAAGAUCGAAGUUUGAUUCUAACCAAAAUGAUGUCAGAUUCAGAUUGCGAAGCAAGCAAAUUGAAAGUAACUUGUUCUAUUUUGAUAAACACUAGUUCUAAUAAAAAAUUUCUAAGUGUAUAUAUUUUUUUUAUUGUGUUCAAUUUAACUAGUCAAAUCUAUUUUUAAAUAUUUUAUUAACAAUGAUAUGAAAAUAUUCGAACCCCUUGUCAUUGUAAAGUGAAUUACUAUCCAACUACACCAAAUAAUGUUUUCAAAUUGUAAACUGCAAAUCGUGUGUUUGCUCCAUUACAGCGUUUCUUCAAUUUAAAAAAGAGAAUCAUUUGCAUUCUAGAUUAAUCGUGGGUCUAUAUCCAAAUCUAAAAAUUGACUAAAUUCUUAAUCCUAACAAGAAAAAUUGAAGAUUAAAAACGACUAAUUUGGUACCAUACCACUAUUGUAACAUAGGUGGAUCCUCUAUUAAUUGGAGUAAAGAUUGAAUUAUCUCAUUUAUUAAGAUUUAUCAAAAUCUUGUAUCAAAAUCUAUUAAUGAUAUAGGUUCAAGGAUGAAAGAGUCACUUCAUUACUUUUGAGUUCCCAAAUAGAUGAAUGGAUGUUAUUUUUGGAUAGGUGCUAAAUCGAAUUAAGUUGUAGAUAAGAUAGAAAUGGAUUUGGAGAGAUUGGAAUCCUAGGUAAUCCGGUGCACGUUGUCGUGUUAAAUUCUCGUUGACUUCACGUUGACUGAAGCAUUAUUGGAAGAAACAAGUUUAUUGAGGUGAGGCCUUUGAGAUUGUAAGUGUUAAAUCUGAGAAGAAUACCCACACACCCAUUAUCCUAUUACUCUUAUAUCACAUGAAGAGAAUUCAACAUUUGAUUCACAUGGAACAAAAUUGUGAGGAUUGCGAGGGUUGAUGGAAUAUAAUUUAGAUACAAAGUGUUUACCAGUGCGAUGCUUCACAAGUGUUUUCAAUCAUAGUGAUUGUUUUAUCUGCACGUGGAUAUAAUCACAUGUCAGAAUUUUUUUCCUUAAAUUAUGAUCUUAUUUAGUACUGAGGUGUUAUAUCUUUUAAUGUACAAUUAUUGUUGGAAAAAAGUUGCAACUAUCAAAUAAAAUUAAUACUAUGUGCUAAAUAUAAUUGUUAAAUAAUAAUUUUGACAAAAUUAGUGAAGUUAAAUAGAUUUUUUUUUUAUCAUCCAAGUAUAAAAUCAAAUCAACUUAACUUCUAAGUUCUAUAUCGGCUACUGUUUAUCAUAUCUUUUAGUUUUGUAACUUUAAAGUUAUAGUUACCCAACCUCAAUUCUAAACAAGACCUAUAAAGAUCAAAGAUUUCCUCAUUAAAUUAUAUGUCUUGUGAUUGCUUAUUUAAUUUAUAUUUUUGUUAUUUAUCUUUAUUAAUUAUAAUCAUCUUUUUAUAAAUUAAAAUUGAAGGAAGUUGAUUGAUGUUGUUGACACACACACACACACACACGCACGCACACACUCGCAAAGAUAUAUUGGAAGUGCUUACGUCGACUCGAAGUUGUUGGGAAUUAAUGCAUGUAUUGAUUUAUUGGGAGUGUUUAAAUUGAUUUAUUAAUUGAAUAUUGUUUGAUUGCUUCAUAUCCAUUCUAGAAAGUUUAUUUCUUUGUGAAAUUUCAACGAAAUAUGUUUUUUUUUUUAAAUAAGGGUGUUCUAAAUCAUUUUAAAAAAUAUAUGGACUAAUUAGAAUUAAUUAUUAGGUAAUUAACUCAAUUUGUACAGGGUGAAACAACAUUUAUCCUAAUUAUAUCAUGAUAAAUACUUUUCUGAUUAGAAUUAGGAAAUCAUAGGUUAUUGAAUUGUUUUUUUUUUCCUUUGCGAAUGGAUUAGAGAAUUAGAAAACAUCAUGUUGAUGUCAAAAUCUGAUCUAGUCNNNNNNNNNNNNNNNNNNNNNNNNNNNNNNNNNNNNNNNNNNNNNNNNNNNNNNNNNNNNNNNNNNNNNNNNNNNNNNNNNNNNNNNNNNNNNNNNNNNNAGCAUUAAAUUUAUUUGGUAGAGAAUUGGCUGGUCAAUUGUCAAGAUGUCCUGCAAUCACUAGCGAUUAACCUACGAAUACCUGAAAUCACAAAAGACGGUAAGAGGCACUAGAAAUUUUUUCGGCGUGAACCUUCUGACGCUCAAGUCAGUUUAUAGGUUUACCAUAAUAAAAAUAAAUAAUUUCUAUUUAAAACAAAAAAUAAAGUUCAAAAGCUCAAAAAUAAAACCCAAUCCCAAUAUGAAAAUGAAUUUCUUUUUUUUUUUUAGCUUGGCCGAAUCCUUCUGCCUCCUAAAGAAACAUAAUAGAGAAGCAGGUAGCCAUGUUCCCUAGGUAACGCCCCACUCCCCUCUUUUAUUCCUCCCCCUCUCUUCCGUUUCCUUCUUUUGCUCACUAUCCUUUAUAAUUUUUUAUGCUUGUCUUCCCAAAAUAGCCUUUGAAUACACAAGUACAUGUCUAGCCUUUGGUGAGGAUAGUUUGGUCAUUGCAUUUUACAAGUAAGAUGAGUGGUGGAGAAAAAUGAGGAGUGCACAUAACUCUUCAGCAAAUCCCACCAACAAUUCCAUUUUCUUAAUUAAUUAAUCUCCUUUUUUAUCCCCAAACAAAUCCUAAUGAUACUCUUAUCAGGUUUAAAACAGUACACAAAUAGUGAAAAGCUAACUAGUCUGUAGAGUAAUUUGCUAAUUGCUAUCUCCUCUCUACGCGCGCUGAAUAAUUUGUUGCAUGCAAACUUUUUAUUUUAUGCAAAUCGUACGUACUGUAACAUUGGAAUUGAUGGAUAAGCAAAAAUACAAUAAUAUUUAUGCCAAUAAAAAUAGUUUUUUUUCCUUUUUAAAUAAACACAACGCGAUGUUGCUCUGCUCUACAUUUUUGCUAUCUCUUUAUUCUUUUUUUUUUUUUGGGCUUCUUAAAGCCUCAAACUUUGACAACCAAAACUUCAUCGACCUAUGAAAAAAUCUGCAGAUUAGUUUUUAUUAUCGGAAUAAUUGUUUGAGAAUACUAAAACAAAAUAUAAAAUAAGAAAAUACGGGGUUAAAUUUGGGGAAAACAAAAAGGCAUGUUCUAUCGAUUACUAUAGUUUAAGAAAACAAAAUCCAAUUGGGAAUUUUUUUCUUUAAUUUUUGUUUUACUUGAUUGAGAUUUCUCCUUAGUCCUUACAGUUUUAAGUUUGGAUGCCGUAGGGUUAGUAAUUUAGUACUUCCUUUGCAAGCUGAGGGCAAGAAUGAAAAUCUUUAAAGAAAUUAAAAAAGAUUAAAAAAAAGCAUACCAAUAGGUAAUUAUAAAUAACCAUAAAUAAACAUAAACAAAAUAUUUAUGAAGUAAAUUACACAUGCACAUAUUAUUUUUUUGUUUUAUUUCUUACUUGUCUAUUUUAUUUGUCUAUUUUAUUUGCUGCUUGAUAACCCGUAAAUACUAAUCUAGUACUGCUAAUUUCAGACACAAAAUUUUUAACUCUAGGCUGCAGUUUUGCUCAAAAUGAUGACCACUGGCUUCGCACCAUUUAACCGGCAUACAUUUCUACAAAUUGAACAAGGCUAUUGAUUUUCAUUAUUAUUUUUUAUUUAUUUAUAAAUUACUAUUUUAAUUUUCACUUUUUAUUGGGUUGUUUACAAUUUUAUUUUAUAAUUUCAAAUUUGUAUUUUAAAAUGCAGGUACAUUAUGUAUACAUAAUUAUUGAUUUUCAUAUGUGGGUGUUUUGAAAUAUUGCUAAAAGACCAAACUUAAUAAACUAUUUUUCAUCUUUUUUUCCCUUUUUUCCUAAAGGUUGAGUGAUAUCCGCAUUUUAAAUUCAUGUGGAACAAAAGCUAAUGAAUGCACAAAAUUCUUUUAUUUUUUCCGAGAAAAAUGGGUAAGAGAAGAAGAUUUUUCUCUUGAAAAAGAAAAACUAAUACGAUGCAAACAUAGGAAAGAGGUCAGUGUUUUGGAUUAGAAUUUAUUAUUGACCUGAAUUUUAUACUAAACUCUUUUAUAGUACUGCGAUUAAUGAACUCAUGAUUUGCUUUUGCUUUUACUUCAAGUGAAAGAAAGAGGAAACCUUUUGUUUUUUGUUUGAUUCUUGACUAUAGAUGUUACCUAUAUAGAGAGUUGAGGUAGCUGCCUUAAGUGAUGGUGAUAAAAAGAUUAAGCAGCGCACAAAAUCUGACUGUCGUCCAGACCAUCCAGCUGUGAUGGCUCUAGUUUUUUGGUUACAUUAGCUUUAGUGGAAAGGAGGGCCAAUUUAACAAAGACUAGAUUUGGUGGCUUACUAUAAUGCUUAUUCUCAAGGAAUCUAAUGUUAUAAGAUGAUUUAAUGAUCUUCUAUGAUUGUGAGUAGUAUAGUAUAAUUGAAAAGAGCCUGGGCUCCUAUGAUGAAUAUUUAAUAGUAACACAAUAUUGUGAUUGAAAAAAACACUGUUACAAUAAACUCUUCAUUUAUUCAUUGCGGAUAUUGAAUGGCAAACAGAGAAUAAAAUGAAGCAGAGGAAUCUCAUUGCUAGUAAAAUUGACCCUCUUUAAUGUUAUAUGGCACAGGUGUGUGUACAGCAAGAGCAAGUGACUUGCAGUUUUUUUUUGUAAAAUAUACAGGUUAUGACCAUGAUCAUUGUAGUUAGGUUUUGAUGAUUUUAGAUGCUUUUUUUAUUUUUUUUAAAUUGUGACACCUUUGAUUUAUGGUAGUUUUGCAGAAGAAAAAAAUAUAUAAAAAAAUUAGGAAGAAUGAGUUAACUAACAAUUGCAAUCAUUACAACAAUGUUGAUGAGUGAUACAUCAUUUGAAAUUUACUUGUCAGUUGCUAAAAUGAUGAAAAAAAACAAUAAACAAUAGCAGUAAUAUUUUUAUGGAAAUUCUUGGUUUUUAUGGAAAUACUCUUGCUGAAAUUCUAAUUUUGACUUUCAACUCUUGGUUUUUAUGGAAAGUAAAAUGACUUGUUUUUUAUAUUCAUACAAUCCACUCUACAUAAUGAUUUCAUUUUAAUAAAUGCUUGAUGAUCUCCACUGAAAAACUACUUCAAUUCUUUUGUUUUAUUUAACUUUUUGGUUGUUGAAAAUAGCCUUAAUUUUCAAAUAACUGGAGAAAGAGUAAAGAACAUUUAACAAAUUUAUGUGCCAAAAAUAAAGGAGAAAUUGAAGAGAAAGGGUGCUUGCAGAAGUGGGUGCAAAGAUAAAUCAGUCUAUAAGAAUUAUUGUGGUUAUUAAUUUUUUGGCAAUAUAAAAAAUUUUCAGCAAAUAAAAAUUGAUUUUUUCCAAUUUACUAAAAAAUUAAUUAAAAACUUUGGCGAUAGCAUUUUUUGUUGGUGCAUGUACCCUCCCUUUUAAAAAAAUAUAAUAAUUAAUACUUAAUAUAAUAUUAAAUACGAAAAUAUCAAUAUUUGACUACACAAAUUUAUAUCAUUAGGUCCUUAAAAUUUAAAAUUGAAGACAUAGAAUGAAAUAUAUAAAUAUAUAUAAAUUUUAUAAUCUUAAAAUAUUUGAAAGAUUUUUUAAAACAAAUGUAAUUUUAUUUGUGUACAAUCAAUAUUUACUUAUUUAUUAUAUUUUUAUUCAUUAACUAUCAAUCAUGUGAGUAUAUCUACUUAGAAAUAUCAUAUCAAGGGAGAAUCUUGAUCCCACGCACACGCAAAUAUGUUAAUUUCUAUACGCUUCACUUACCUGUAGAAUCAAUUAUCUAAAAUGCAAGUUUGUGGCCACAAAAAAGGCCAAAGAAAGAAGAUAAUAACAAUUGACUUGUAUAUUAUACUCAUACAAUCCACUCGACAUAAUGAUAUCAUUUUAACAAGGCAAUGGCUGAUGAUCUCCAUUGAAAAACUAAUUCAUUUCUUUUGCUUCAUUUAACUUUUUGGUUGUUGAAAAUAACCUUAAUGAUCAAAUUUAUGUGCAAAAAAAAAAGGAGAAGUUGAAGAGAAAGGGUGCUUGCAGAAGUGGAUGUCAAAGAAAAAUCGGUCCAUAAGAAUUAUUGCGGUUAUUUUUUGGCAAUAUAAAAUUUUUAUAGCAUGUAAAAAUUAAUUUUUUUUCCGAUUUACUAAAAAAUUAACUAAAAACUUCUGCGACAGCAUUUUUUAUGGGUGCAUAUACCCUCCCUUUAAAAAAAAUAUAAUAAUUAAUGCUUAAUAUAGUAUUAAAUACGAAAAUAUCAAUAUUUGACAACUCAAAUUUAUAUCAUUAGGUCCUUAAAAUUUAAAAUUGAAGACACGAAAAGAAAUAUAUAAAAAUUUCAUUCUCAUGGAAAGGAUUCUCUUAUAAUCUUAUAAUAUUUGAGUUCUGAAAUUUUUUUGAAACAAAUGUAAUUUUAUUUGUGUACAAUCAAUAUUUACUUAUUUAUUAUAUUUUAAUUUAUUAACUAUCAAUCAUGUAAGUAUAUUUAGUCAGAAAAAUUAUAUCAAGAGAGAAUUCUAAUUUCACACAAACACAAAUACAAGACAAAUAUGUCAAUUUCUAUACUAUUCACUUUCCUGUAGAAUCAAUUAUCUAAAAUGGAAGUUUGUGGCUACAGCAAACUCGCCAAAGAAAGAAGAUAAUAACAAUUGAGCAUUGAUAGCAAAACUAAUGCAUCAUUUUCUUCUUGACUUGAUGAGAUGGCGCCAUUACAAAAAAACAAGUACCUUAAUUGACGGGCACUGAGUGAUGUGAAUACUACCAGCCAGUUCAUCUCUUCCAGUCUUGCUUAAUCACAAUCACAAACACCACGAGAUUGACAUUUGCAUUAUAUAUAUGUUCAGCAAUCGAAACACCUUGCAUUACCAAAUUAACCGCUAACAAACAAAGCAAUCUUUCAGGGAGAGAAACUUUAGUCUCAGUAUGAUCACUGUGUCAUUAACCCACUUCCUGCUUCUUUGCUUGGUUGUUGUAGCAGCAGCAGCAGCAAGCAACAAUAUUACCACAGACCAACAAGCUCUUCUUGCCCUGAAAGAUCAUAUAAUUUAUGAUCCGACCAACCUUUUUGCCCAUAAUUGGACCUCGAAUACCUCUGUUUGUACCUGGAUUGGCAUCACUUGUGAUGUCAAUAGCCAUAGAGUCGCAGCCUUAGAUAUUUCUCAAUUCAAUCUACAAGGCACCAUCCCUCCUCAACUUGGAAACCUCUCUUCACUCACAACGCUUAAUCUUAGUCAUAACAAGCUUUCUGGAAACGUUCCCUCCUCCAUCUACACAAUGCAUACGCUAAAAUUUCUUGACUUCACUGAUAACCAGCUCUCUGGUUCGGUGUCUUCCUUCGUCUUCAACAUGUCUUCAAUAGUAGAAAUUCGUUUGACCAAUAACAGAUUUUCUGGUGAGCUUCCGAAAAAUAUUUGCAACUAUCUUCCUUAUUUGAAAGCCCUUUUCUUAAAAAAAAACAUGUUUCAUGGCAAAAUUCCUUCUGCUUUAUCAAAGUGCAAAACUCUGCAAAUAUUAUUGUUGCAGUUCAAUAAUUUAUCCGGUGCAAUACCAAAAGAAAUCGGCAACUUGACUAUGCUCAAAGGGAUAUCUCUAUUAUGCAACAAACUCCACGGUAUGUUCAUAAUACUAUGUAAAUAUUUUAAUUUCUCACUUGUUAUUUUUCUUGAAUACUUUAGAUAAGAUCUUGUAACAGAGAUUUUUUUGCAUCUAUGUUAAUUUGCCAGGUGAGAUACCCCACGAAAUCGCUAAUCUUCGAAAUCUAGAGGCUUUAGUGCUUGGAAUGAACAACCUAGUUGGUGUGUUACCAGCUCCAAUCUUCAACAUGUCAACACUGAAGGUACUUAUCCUCAUGGAUAACUCUCUCAGUGGAAGUCUACCAUCAAGAAUAGACCUUUCACUUCCAACUGUUGAGUUUCUUGAGUUGGCACAUAAUAGAUUUUCUGGAACCAUUCCUAGUUCCAUCACCAAUGCUUCUAAGCUCACCGUUCUAGCGUUGGGAGAGAACACAUUUUCGGGCUUCAUUCCAAACACAAUUGGUAAUUUGAGAAGCCUUUUGAGGCUCAGCUUGGCUAAUAAUUACUUGAAAUCUUCAACCUCAAAAUUGAGCUUUCUUUCCGCUUUGGCAAAUUGCAAGAAAUUAAGAUUCUUAAACUUAGGAGGCAAUCCACUCGACGGUAUCCUUCCAAGUUCAAUAGGUAAUCUUUCUAAGUCUUUGGAAACACUUGUCAUCGCCAAUUGCAGUAUUAGUGGCAACAUUCCGGAAGCAGUUAGCAAUUUAAGCAACUUGUUGACCUUAGUAUUAGAACGCAAUAAAUUGACUGGACCAAUUCCAAUUACACUCGGCCUACUACAGAAACUCCAAGGCUUAUAUCUUGGAUUCAAUAUGCUGGUAGGUUCAUUCCCAGAUGAGCUUUGCCAUCUAGGUAGGCUGAAUGAAUUGGUCUUAUUUGGCAAUAAGCUUUCAGGAUCUAUACCUUCAUGCUUAAGUAACCUCACUUCUCUGAAAUCUCUCUACUUAGGGUCCAAUAGGUUUACUUCUGUUAUUCCCUCAACCUUCUGGAGCCUAAAAUACAUCUUGUUCUUUGACUUUUCAUCAAAUUUCUUGGUUGGUCCUCUUUCUUUAGACAUUGGAAAUUUGAAGGUGCUUCUAGAAAUAAACUUAUCAAAAAAUAACUUAUCCAGUGAUAUCCCAGCCACAAUUGGAGGACUGAAAGAUCUUCAAAUUAUGGACCUAGCAUAUAAUAGAUUGGAAGGCCCAAUUCCUGAAUCAUUUGGUGACUUGAUAAGUUUAGAAGUUUUGAAUUUGUCAAAUAAUAAAAUCUCUGGGUCUAUUCCAACAUCCAUGGAGAAACUCUUUUACCUUCGAGAGUUAAAUCUCUCUUUCAAUAAACUAGAAGGUGAGAUUCCUAGUGGAGGAAUUUUUGCCAACUUCACAGCUGAGUCAUUUGUGGGAAAUGAGUUAUUGUGUGGUUUACCAAAUCUUCAAGUCCAACCAUGCAAAGUUAGCAAGCCGAGGACAGAACAUAAAUCAAGGAAAAAGAUACUUCUCAUUGUGAUUGUUUUGCCAUUGAGUAUUGCUCUAACAAUAGCAAUCACUCUAGCUCUCAAAUCUAAGCUUAUUGAAUGUGGAAAGGGAAGCACAGUGUUGUCAAAUGAUGGUAUCUUGUCAUCACAAGCAACACUAAGAAGAUUUUCAUACUUAGAACUUUUACGAGCAACAGAUAAUUUUGCUGAAAACAACAUAAUUGGCAGAGGAGGUUUAGGUUCCGUUUAUAGAGCAAGACUUGAAGAUGGGAUGAAGAUUGCAAUAAAAGUGUUUCACCAGCAAUGUCCAAGCGCAUUGAAGAGUUUUGAGGCUGAAUGUGAAGUGUUAAAAAAUAUUCGCCAUCGAAACCUUAUCAAAGUUAUCAGCAGUUGCUCGAACGAUGACUUCAAAGCAUUAGUCCUAGAAUACAUGUCCAACGGGAGCUUGGGGGAUUGGUUGCAUUCGAGC
rnacentral:lncRNA from 1 species